GGAUAGACGGUGGGGGUUACACGUUUGACCGGCGUCAACUCCUACGUACUACGAUCGAUGUGCCUGCAGCCUGUGCUUGCAUUGCGUUCUUGACCCUGCACGGCCGCCGGAUCGAUAGUCGUCUCUCCUGCGUCCAUGCGUUUCUGCAAAGCUGGCUACUACUCUUUGAUGUUCCAAGAGCUAGCGCGUCUUAAUUUGUUCCUAGGCCUUGUUUAGUGGUGAAAAAAAUUGAGUUCUGUCACGCUAAUAUUUUCGUUUGUAUUUGACAACUAACUAGGCUAAAAAGAUUUAUGUCACAAAUUACAGGCAACAGUUAGUUUUUAUUUUCAUCUAUAUUUAAUAUUUUAUGCAUACGUCUAAAAAUUUGGCCCCGUUUGAUUCCUCUUAUUAAAUUUUAGUCGGCUAAAAUUAUUUUAACUACUCUUAGGUAACUAGUGGGACUAAGCUAUUUUAGCUUCUUUUUAGUCGGUGUAUUUAGAACUUUAGCUACUAAAGUGACUAAAAUUUAGUUAACUAAAAUUUAGCAAAGAGAACUAAACAAACUAAUGUGAUGGGAAAUUUUGAAAAAAAAAUAAAAUUUUAGGGUGAACUAAACAAGGCCCUAGAGUAGCGUGGUACUUUACGUACGUACGUGCCCAAUAUACAGGUCUAUUUGUUUAGAUACACCCAAAAACCCAAAACUUUACAAUAUACCCUGUCACAUCGAAUCUUGUGGCACAUGCAUGAAGUAUUAAAUAUAGAUAAAAACAAUAACUAAUUGCACAGUUUACCUGUAAAUCACGAGACGAAUCUUUUAAGCCUAGUUACUCCAUAAUUAAACAAUGUUUGUCAAAUAAAAACAAAAAUAUACAUUCAAAAAAAAAUAAAAACGAAAAUGCUACGGUGUCAAAAUCCCAAAACUUUUUGCAGUUGCCGUACCACGAAGCUUAACCGACAGGAGAUCUGCAAUCAUUGUCGAACAUGAGAUCAGUUGAUCAUCAAGAGAUGGAGCUGGAGACUAGUACGUCCUAGUUAAUCGUCGGCAGCUAUUUUGAGUUUACAUACUCCCUCCGUUUCUAAAUAAUAGUUAUUGUUGAUGUACGUUCUACAAGUUUGAUUCAAUUUUAGUAAAUAUAUGCUAUAUUUGUAUUUCUAAAUAUUUAAAAAAAAAAACUAGAUUCAAAAAACUUUUUAAUAUGUAUUUUAAAUAUUAAUAUUUUUUAAUAUAUAUUUAGUCAAACUUGUUUCUCAAAAAAAACUUAAACGAUAAAUAUUUAGGAACAAAUGGAGUAUGUCCUGUGCAGUCACGUGUUCAUCGGAUGGUGAAGAUUCGUCGUGCCUCAGCAUGCAUAUAUACUCCCUCUGUUGUAAAAAUAAUUGCAUUUCUAAUAUUUGAAAUUUGUCUCAAAAUAAGUGAACUUUUAGAUGUGCUUUACCUAUUUCUAUUAGUGUUUUUUACUUUCUCUACUUCCAAAUUGUAAUCAUUAUUACAUAGUGAAAUAGCUUUUGGUAGGGGUGAAUUAUGUAAUUUUUAAGUAACAUCGAUCUUCAAUAAAAAUUCUAGAAAUAUAUUUAUUUAAAACUGAUAGAGUAUAUAAAUAUAUAAUUAGUUAUAUAGACGAAGACCCCAUUUAGUAUGAAUGCACAAAUUUUUAGAUAAUAUACAGUCAAAUUAUAGGUGGAACCCGCCAACACAGUGCAACAAGCUUAUCUAUCAACUAAUAAAUUAUUGGCAUAAAAAGUGUGAACCAUCUGUUUUUUUUUAGAGGAAGAGAGAACCUUCUUUGAUGUUGGUAGAGCUUAGGGCAUUGAGGAUGUGCCCACUCUAACCAGUGAACCAUCCACGUCUUCCAACGGCGUAUCCCCACAUAUAUGGGUCCAGGCUACCCCACGCUUUUUGUCCCUCCGGGCCUUUAAGCCAAUUGAAACCAGUUUGUAGCCACCACAAGCCUGCAACCAGAUCCUAGUAGAGAUCGAGUCAUGACCGAGCUAGCUAGUCACAACUUAAUUAGUUGCAAACCGAUGCAGAAUCAAAGAUUACUUUAUGCUGUUUUUUUAAUGUCAGAAGUAGAUAAUUAUUUAGAAAAUAGAAUUUAUCCAGUGGUCAUUAUUAUCAUCAGAGUCGAUGCAAAAACCACAACAAAAUGAUGCAUGCAGUAUGAGAAACUGUGACCACAAAAGCAGAUUCAUACUAAGGGCUUGUUUAGAUCCAAUUUUUUUUUGGAUUUUGACACUGUAGCACUUUCGUUUUUAUUUGACAAACAUUGUCCAAUCAUAGAGUAACUAGGUUUAAAAGAUUCAUCUCGUGAUUUACAGACAAACUGUGUAAUUAGUUUUUAUUUUUAUCUAUAUUUAAUACUCCAUGCACGUGUCACAAGAUUCGAUGUGAUGGAGAAUCUUGUAAAGUUUUGGGUUUUUGAGUGCAUCUAAACAAGGCCUAAAUAAAAUAACAUUCUUGCUGCAAGAGAAGAGGAAGGAGGAAGGGAAAAUGAAGGUUGUCACGGGAGUAUCCAGCUCAGGGAGUCAAACGUUUUUUUUAUUAGGUUGGCCCAUAAGAAGAGUCGAAUACCACUAGAGAUUAAAUAAUGGAAGGCAUACGUGUUUCGGUGAGUCAACCCACCACUAAGAAUUCUGCCCUCAAUAAUGUUGAGUCAUAUCUAUAUAAAAUUGAUGGGUAUAUAUUCUUUCUAUUUUUAAGGAUUUUUAGAAUUGUUUCAAAUUAAGUUUUGUCUCAUAACGGUUGACGUCGGAGGCUUUUCAUUAUUAGAGACAUAGAAUUUGUAACAGUUCAGAUGCUUGCAUUGUAAAACGUACGUGCCGGUCAGGAUUCCCCCCUGGCAAAGCGCCCCACGCCUGCCACGCAAAUCCACCACCACCGCAGCGCGCGUAUAGUAUACGGUGACUAGGUUUUCCGCCACUGCGACGACACAUAUAUGCCAUGACAUGCCUGCCGCGCGCCUGGCGCUAGCGUCGUCGUCGUACUCGUGCACCCGCCUGGCUCCCUGCCGGCCGGGCGCGCGGCCCCGGCUGGCAUGCAUCCAUUAUGCCCAGCACGUACGAUCGUCGGCGACGGGGAUCUCCACCGCCGUGUGUUCUCGCUCUUUGCUCCUUGAUCCGAUCCGCGCGAGAUUCUACGUGUCCGCUCUAUCUAUCACGCCCACUAUUAUCUGCUGGAGAGAGUAGUAUGUGCAUAGUAAUUCGAAGCUUUGUGAACGGGUGAAAGCUAUAGACGUGAGGCCGGUUUUUUCAUGCCGGCGUGGAUCGAUGAGAGGUCCCGCUAGUAGCUGCGGGCCAGGGGGUUAUCGUACGCGCGCGCGGGGGCAUCUGAUCAGCUAGCUGGUUCUGUUAGCCCUAAACAUGUGAGUGCCGGGCCUGGCCAUGUGUCCAUGUUCUCUCAUUGUCUUUUCUCUGAGUCUGAGCUGAGCGAAAAGUACGCCACCUGCUAAUCUUUUUGCUUGGUCUCCGGCGCAUGCGUCCACGCAAAAGACUACAAACGCUUGGCGGGAGGGAGUUUUUUUUUGGGAGAUUGCCUGCCCAUGACCUAAUUGAUGGAUCGACAAGGACUAGCGGUCUGUAGGUAAUUACCCUGCAUGCAUGUGGCACUACCGUGCUACUAUAUCCUAAUAUAAUGCAUGUUCGUGCAGCAAAGUGGACGUACGAACUGGGUGGUACGGUACUAGAAUCCUAUAUGCAAAUGUUCGCGUCUUGUCAUACAUGCAUGCAAUCAGAUCAUACUAUGUAUCAUCAGUCUCCAACAAUAUAUAUUUUCUGUUCUAUUAGCAAGUAAUGCAUAUAGCCAAUACACUAACCAUUUUGUCUAAAGAGAAAAGCUAGGGUAGCAAGCAAUGAUUGAUGCAUGACCAAUGAAAAACAAAGGUACCGGCCGGCGCCGACGGAGUAGCUAGGAAUCUUUUUGCCGAGAUCAAUGUUGAAAAGUGGAGCGGCGUACUAGUGUUCCAUUAAUUGGGGGUUAUUAGCUAGGGAAGCUUUCUAGCAACAAGCUUCAGAGAGAGUCGUAUGGCCAGGGAGCCCAGGAUUCAGGAGUCGUAUCAAUCGUAGUUACGUACUACUAGCUUCUGGCGAUCAGAUAUCCGCCGCCUAUAUAUAUAUGUUUCUGUUGGCGAUCACCUGUCCUUUCAUUCUACAUUAGAGAUCGGCGAGUGCGCCCGUAGCUUAUUGACACUUAACAAUAUAGCCUUCUUGAAAUUAAGUAAUUAUUUGAACACACAUAUGUUACUCCCGUAGAGUGUGCCCAAUACUACUGUUUUCUGAAAACACAAAAGCAGCAUGCAUGCUAGCUAACCUGGCUUCUAGUAGCUAUAGGGUAAGAUCCCAUUGGAGAGAUACAAACGCGCGGAAAGCGUCACAUUAUGUAGGACAUGAUGUAGUGCGCGAUCGAAAUUGCAUGCAUGGUCCUUGAGACAGCAUCAUCAAGUCACGAAACUUUUCUUGCUAUUGGAUUGAUUUUAACAGCAGGUGUACCUGCAGAGAGAUGCAGCUGUACUGCUCGAGGGGAGCAGCCGGCCGGAAUCCCACAACAAGAUAGCCAGAACGGAACCACCUGAGUGCGAGAUGAGAUCCGGACCGCCGGCCGGCCAGCAGCAGGCCGCCCCUCGUGAUUUCAAGCACAGCCUCUCAUCUCUGCUGUCCAUGUCUGACUCUCUGUUGUACUGGAUCUCAUCGAAUAUUAUUUGAAUUCAAUUUUUAAUUUAUAUCCAAAACUGCGAUAAACGUACUUUGAUUGAGCGCGGGGCGGACUUUGUUCUCGUACGUCUUCGUUCUAGCAAAAGAAAAAAAAUAAGGAAAGUAUUUGAUGAUCAGUAUAGAUUAUCAAUUGCUAUUGAUGAAGUGUCGUCGUUGCUAAAUAGAUCUGUCCUUGUCUAAAUGGGUUGGAUCAAUGGGACAAAUAAAUCAGCUCCGAAGAAAACAACCUUUUGCCAUCCUAGCUAUAUAUAUACUAUUAAUAUUAUUCUUUUGAAAGAAAAAACACAUCCAAAACCCCUCCUAGCAGAUUGAUGGUGUUCCGAGUAGACUGUAUGCAAGUACUAGAGCUAGUAGCUAGGGGACCAAAUUUAUGAUCAACUUGCCACUUACCAGCAUGGGAUGUCGACCAAAAGCUUGAAAUAAUUCUGACUAGCUCUGGCCUUACCUUUACACCUGGAACUGUACCCUGUUAUUCACAUAAAUGUCAUACACUAAUAAGGAUGUGUUUAGAUCCCUUCAAAAUUCCAAAAGUUUACAAGAUUUUUCUAUCACAUCGAAUCUUGCGGCACAUGCAUAGAGCUUUAAUAAAUUAAAAAUAACUAAUUGCACAAUUUACCUGUAAAUCGCGAGAUGAAUCUUUUAAGGCUAGUUAGUCUAUGGUUAGACAUAUUUGUCAAAUACAAACGAAAGUGGUACAGUACUAAAACCCUAAAAAAAUUUGGAUCUAAACAAGGCCUAAAAUAUUUUUUAGACUCUGCAGAGACUACACACUUCACUACACACGUAAUUAUUUAACCUAAUAAGAUGAUAGUUCUAAAUAAUAUACUAAACCCUAGGAAAGUAGUUAGUUCAACUGAAUAACCACAUGCCUCUAGUUAAUUAAUAAUUUAGUGUGUACUAGGGUUAUCAUAAAUUAAGCAGGAGUUCCAAAAGGAAGUUCCAACUAUAUAUAUAUAACCAGUUCAAAAGAAAAGUUCCAAAAGACAAUAAGCAAGAGUUUACAAGGUAUUUUUCUGUUAAUAUUAAUUAUACCUACUGAAUGAAGAUAUAUAUGUUUUCUUAAUAGUCACUAAUGUCUUUGGACAUGUGUACUUUCAACUAGGAAUGCUUUUGAUGAUGUUGUUCCCAAAAAAAACAUAUAUGAAGGUAUUAUUUAAUACACAAUAUCAUAUGCUAUAGUAAUAUGCAAUGUCUUGAAAAAAAUUGUUAACGGGAUCCACCAAAGAAAUAUAUAUUAUUAACAGUAAGUCCAUAGCAAGCAAAUUAAACUCGAUCAAGAUAUGCAUGCCAAUCACAAGAUCAGUAUACUCUUUGCAUGCAUAUAUGUUUUUUUUUUUGCAUGCAUGGUUCAGCAUAUGGGCAUGGGAUCUUUUACAAAAAUAUGUCAUCUGCAGUCUGCCCAUACAAUUAUUAAUUCCUUCCAUACAAACAUAUUUACAUUGACAUAUAGGACCACCACGCUUUGUCGUGCUAUGUGUUUUCUGCACAGUGGGUGCAGAAUCAUGCAGUGAAUAAAAAGGACCGGAAGAAGAUGACCAAACAAUUUGCCAGCCCCACGGAGGCCACGAGUGUACGUUGCAUGCAUGCAUUUUUUGUGUUCUCCCCAGCCUACAAACAAAUGCAUGACGCAUCUACAAGAAAGUACAGUUCCCAGCCCUGCAAAUUUUACGUUUUAACUAUAGUCCAUGCACAUUUUCUACUGUGGCCUGCUGAUCCUCGAUCUAUCCCGAUCUAAACCCAUGAGCUGAUCGAGCAGAUAGAUGUGUAGAUAUAUCUAUGCGCAUUGAGUUGGAUCGUCGGAAGGAGGAGGACCACACAAAUAUAUUCUUCAGGGACAAAACUCAGGACCGCUCAAUACUUUCGUAGGGCCGCACUGUGCAGUGCUUGUCCCGAAUCAGCAUUGGCACUAUAGCUCACUAUGACAGUGCAGUGCACACACGCAGACACGCGCGCUAGACGUCUGGAUCGGUCUCUGGUAGAUUUCUCGAUCGCAUUUUCCUUUUCGCAAGAUCAGAGAGAGUGCAGCAGCGCCAUCGUUUUUCUCUGUUCCGCUCUCACUUCAUCCCAGUGUUCUACAGCGUCAGGUUUGGACGGUAUUUAUAUAUUCUUUGUUUGCUUUUGUUAAUGAUUAUAUAUAAUAUAUAUUCAGCAAUCAUGCAUGGGGGUCUGGGGGACAAGCCAAGAGCAAAGUGACACACACACACCACGCGCGCGCACACAGCAGCAGCAGCAAAUUAAAAGGGCUACUGGGCAACGGGUACUACUUCUAUACAGUAGUGUGCAAAUCUUGGAACCACAUGCUUAUCCAGUGGAGGAACGAUUAGCCAGGGGCCAUCAUGUGAUAAGAUCUGGACGAUCGAUGUACGAGCAUGUCGUGUGAUUUUGAAGGAUUUCUUAUAUUAUAUAAUGAGGAUCGGAGCUGGUGGAGACCGGAGAGGCGGAAAGAGCUCACAGUGUAAGUUCGUUGUUGAGGAACACUCAUGCACUUGGAAUGUCGUCAUCGGUCACAUUGCUGGAUGUGGGGUUGGUUUCUGCAAAUACCAAUGAUGAGUUAGGGCUAUAUGUCCUGAAAGGUGAAUAAACAUGAUAUGAAAUGUUGAGAUGAUCGAGCAUGCUCUCAUCUUAUAUAUUGCUUCGUUCUAGUUGGUGGCCCAAGUGAAACAUCCAUGUGUGUUACUAAUCUUCAUCAUCAGGCACGUAAAUCUAUAAAUUUUCACAAAAGUCUGACAGAUUUGGCCAUGAACUCGAUAGAUUAUAAUUCCAAUUGACAAUAAUAGUCAUUGGAUCUAUUACAUUUUCAAAAAAAAAAACACCUCUACCACUUGCUCGCCUAAAUUACCCAACCUCUACUACCAAUCAUAAUCUAAAAUAACCUCUAGAUUUUCAUCUAAACUACCACCCUACAGUUACAAUAGAUAAUCUAAAUUUUUCAUCAUAGUGCUUGGGAGAGUGAGCAGAGCGUGACGUUUUUUUAAGGCAACAUGUAAGUCACCAAAGAACAAGCCAUCCUAUAUACCUUUAUCACUUUAGCGAGGAUUUUAUAUGUACCAAUAGUUUUUCAUGGCUAGAUCGACAACAGUGUAUAGUUAGUUUUUUUCUUUCUAUGUAAUAAACUUGGUGUAUUUCUUCCUUUUAGAGCAACUAGCAAAAUGCCCAUGUGUUGCAAUGGGAUUUAUAUAUCUUGUACCAUUUGUUCUAAUCCAUUAGAAUCAUAGAGCUCAUUCCAAAUCCUCAAUUGAAUAUAUCAAUAGUUUAGUCAAAAUCCUUGAGCAUCCAAUCACUAAUUUCACAUAAAGAUCGAUAGCAUUAAGACCAAACUGAUAUCAAUAGUUCAGUAAAAAUCCUUAAGCAUCCAAUCACUAAUUUCACAUAACAGAUGAAUUCAAUAGCAAUUAUUUUAAGAUCUCACUGCAAGCAUAUAUAAUGUCUAACAUCCUUAAAUCUACAACAUCAUUCCAUCAAAUAAGGAUUGUGGGUUUAUACUGAAGAACUAAAAUUUUAAAUGUUAAAAAGUAGCUAAACACAAGAGAAUGACCUUUAAGUCAGACCGAUGAACUGGGGAUGCAGCUCGCUGCCCCGUGUGGCACGCCGUCUCCUCUGGUGGCCGGUGCCCUGCUGCUAAGCCAUGCCAGAUGGAGGGCAGCUCGCUGCUGCUGCUCCACACUUCCAUCCAUAUGUCGGUCCAUGACAGCUCGCAAGAGGGAGCAGUCUAGCUGUGUGGGCUAUUCACCAGAAUAGAAGCCUCGUUAAUUUCACAUGAGCCACUUUAUCCUGCAGACCUAUCUUACUCCACGGUUGUUGUGGUCCGUUGGAUUAUAGUGAACAUUUGAGAUCAGCAGGAACAAAAUAGCAGCAGUUGGCCUAACUCAAACCCUAGCUCAUUCUCUCUUUUCUGUGUUUCUCUCAUGAGCAGCUGCUAGGAGUUAACGACGGUGCUCUAGUUGUUGCUUGGCUACAGGAGCAGAAGGUGGUGCCAGCGUGGGCCCACUCGACGGAGCGCAUGCGCGGCCGAGGCUGCACGCGGUGCCGUCCGAUAAUGUAUUGUAGCAUGUGCCUAGUCAGUUGUGUUUAUCUUCUACCAUUCAAAAGUGCUUUAAGAUUCGUGCUGCAGUAUACUCUCUCCUUUGUUCAACACUUUUUUUCUCAGUGUUUUGCACUCUCUUUCCUGCUGCACAUAUCUCAAAGUUGUUUAGAUGGCUAGGAUAGUAGCUGCUGAACAUGUACUAGCAAAAAAAUCGCGUUUGGUGCCGUCGAGCAACUCCCCACUGGCAACCUGGACACAGCGAGUCAUGGUCUUCCACAACAGUGACAUUUUCAGCGCCGCUGCGACCAUCUCAUGGUGGUUGUACCCUGAUCCGCACAACAGUGGCUGUGACAGCAGCGACCAGAUCAAAGCGACGGCGGCAACACCCUAAUUCACAUGCUGGCGAUGGCAUCCUUCAUUUGCGACCUUCCACCAAGGUGGCGUGCGCUCUGUAGGACAUACUAACAAUGACGUGGCGCCUCUGGUUGGCUGUGGACGUCGGUAGAAGAAAUAGCAAAUUUAUUGUUUUUUAUUUUAUAUACGGUACACCUAGCGUCCGGACGUCCAGACGCGAUGUCACGUCCGGACACGGCUCCAAUAACUAUGCCUCUCUCGUGUCCGCAUCAUGUCCCAUGUCUAGGCCUCCGCAUGCCGUCCCGAGCACCUACGCCUACGUCCGUAGUAGGGACUCGCACCCCAUACCCACCCAUGUGCCCCGCAAAAAAACACGGCUGCACCCCGAGCAGCAACAACAACGCGUCCGUAGUAGUGAACCACAACAUGUACCCACCUUGCGCCCCGCUCGCAGAAAACCACAGCUGCACACCCCCCCCCCCCCCGAGCAACAGCGUGUCCGUAGCAGGAAACUGCAUCCCGUACCCACCCUGCGCCCAACACACGGAAAACCACGGCUGCGCCACCGACUGGUAGCAACAGCCACCGGUCGCGCCUUCCAACACUGCAACAUGCAGAUCAAAAUCUUUGCAACAUAUGUGUAAAUCAGAUGAAACAUUUGCAAUGUACAAUUGAAACACCAUUGCAAUAUUGUGCAACCAUCCUGAUCCAAUUUUGAAAUAUCUAGAUGUAAUACCUGCAACAUAGUGAAAAAGACAAUUGAAACACUUCAGACAAGCAUCUAAAACACUCGCAAAAAAUACGUGUAUAAAAACAGCUGAAACACUGAAGAAAAACACUUACAACAUACAUGUACAACUAUUGCAACAUGUGCAACAUUUUGAUCUACUUUUACAACAUCUGCAUGAAACAACUGAAACAUACACAUGAAAACCACUGAAACACUUAAAAUAUGAGCUUGCAACAUAUCACAAAAAAAGUCAAAAACACCCGAAACACAUGAACAUCGCACGGCCAUGACUUGGUGGAACCUACGGUGGCAUAGGCUGGCUGGAUGGUCCGCCCAUACGCCCCUGCCAUGCUUGCCGUUGGCCAAGGGAGAGGAGACGCUGCCAGAUCUGGAGAGGACGCCGCCGACCACAGUAUGGGAGGGUCAGCAGCUUGCUUGAGUCCGCCGGCCACACACCAAACAACUUCCUCAAGCCCGCUGGCCAGAUCCGGUGAGAUGCGGAUAGAGAUGGAACACGAUGGGUAACAGCGGGGCGCGCAGUGUGCAGCAAGCUGGAGCGGGCACGUCGGAGCUUGGAGCACGCUAAGGCGACGAAGGAGUGCGCGGUGCUAAAUGAAGAGCUACACGCCGCUGUAAGGGCGGCUGGUAACACCAGCCGCCCCUACAGUGAACACUGUAAGAGUGGCUGGCUUCCUCGUUCCCGGCCCAGCCACUGUAAGAGCGGUUCAAAUGCUAGCCGCCCUUGCAGUGUGGGAGGAGGGCGCUCUCUUAGUAAGUUUUUCACGUAGUGUGUGACCAAAUAAUAAACAUUGUUUUUCACAAAAUAGGCUAUACAUAGUAAACACAUAAACCAUUGUGAAAUAUGCAAAUAUGGAUAAGACUUGGAUCCGAUAAGGCUAGCUGCUACGAAUAUUAUUCAGUUACCAAAAAAAAAACUUUCAGCGGUGUAGUCGACAUGCAAGGCGAUGAAACGCUCUUGUGGGAUGUUAUCAUGAUAUCUAUCAGGUCAAUUUUCAGGAUGUUCUUAUAAGGUGGUAAAAUAUGUGUCCAUCCAUAGAGGUGAGUGUGUACAUAUAUACAAUGCAAGUGUUUACAUCGCUAUGGAUCAAUGGAUUACAAACCUUACUUAGCUUCGAUCUGGGCAGUUUCUCUACUGCUCUUCUUUGUUUCCUUUUUUUUUUUCCUAAUUCUGCACAGUACUUGGUGCUUGGUGCUGUCUUGUAAACCUUUUUGUAACCUCUGAACUUUGUUUUGUCUUUCUUUAAUAAAGCCUUCCUGCAGGGGUGCAAACCCCUCCAGUCUAUUCAAAAAAAAAACUUGUCAAGCAAAAUAAAGAUGUUUUGUAUUUUCUACAUUUUUUAGCAGAUAUCAGGAGCUAGGGCAACCGCGCUCCUCAUAUUAUUAUUGCGUGACAUGACUGAAUAACAAAAGGUCGAAACAUGAUCUGGGCCUUGUUUAGUUCUCCAAAAAAUUUGCAAGAUUUUUCAGAUUCCCCAUCACAUCGAAUCUUUAGACAUAUACAUGGAGUAUUAAAUAUAGAUGAAAAUAAAAACUAAUUACACAGUUUGGUCGGAAUUGACGAGACGAAUCUUUUAAGCCUAGUUAGUCUAUAAUUAGAUAAUAUUUGUCAAAUACAAACGAAAGUGCUACUAUUCCUAUUUUGCAAAAAAUUUUGGAAGUAAACAAGGCCCUGAUGGUCAGGGGGGCAUCUUUGGAUUUCGAGGCACAAUAUGUAUCAGUAAAAUGCGCCUAAAUAAGGCUCCCUACUAUAAACUGAUCCUCAUUACUUAUGAACGGAAACUAGGUAAAUUAAUUAAACAUGCAUGUGAUAGAAUUCGCAUAGCAGGGAAAUGGUAAACGUACAAAUGAAAGUGGCCUUGUUUAGAUACACCUAAAAACCCGAAACUUUACAAGAUUCCCCGUCACAUCGAAUCUUACGGCACAUACAAGAAGUAUUAAAUAUAGAAAAAAAAUAACUAACUACACAGUUUAUCUGUAAAUCACGAGACGAAUCUUUUAAGCCUAGUUACUCUAUAAUUAGAUAAUGUUUGUUAAAUAAAAACGAAAAUACUAUGAUGUUAAAAACCAAAAACUUUUUGCAUCUAAACAAAGCCAUACCCCCUUUUGGUUUCCGAAAUGUCCAGGCAGUAGCGUGAAAGCUCAUCGCCUUUUGGCCCAGGCCCAAUAAAUAUUAUUCAGACGUAAAACACACACAACACAUCCCCAGCAUAUUUCCUCCAAAUUAAUCACAACUUCUGUCCUACGUUUGACACGAGACCCUUGCAUUCAAUGUUACCUUUUCAUUCAAUUUGUAGUAUCUUUUUAAUUUACUUAUUAUCUUGUUGCACAUCCGUACCCUUAGGGCACUCACAAUGCAAGACUCUAUCAUAAAGUCCAAGACACUUAAUUACAUAUUAUUUAUGGUAUUUUGCUGAUGUGGCAGCAUAUUUAUUAAAGAAAGAGGUAGAAAAAAUAAGACUCCAAGUCUUAUUUAGACUCCAAGUCCACAUUAUUCGAGGUAAUAAAUAACUUUAGACUCUAUGAUAGAGUCUGCAUUGCGAGUGCCCUUACUUGAACUCUUCUCGUUCAUGCUAGGAUAGUACCUCAUAUUACGACUUUACGAGGGUAUUUGAAUCUAUGUAUUAAAGUUUAGUCUCUAUCAUAUCGGACAUUCGGAUAUAAGGUUACACAUGAGCUAAAUUAUAAAACUAAUUGCACAGAUAAAGAUUAAUUUGCGAGAUUAAUCUACCAAGCCUAAUUAAGCCAACAUUAACACAUAUUUACUUUAGUUAAAUUAUAUACUAAUUAGGUUUAAUAAAGCCGCCUCACAAAUUAGUCCUCAUAUGUACAAUUAGUUUUAUAAAUAAUCAACAUUUAAUAUCCAAAUUAGUAUCAAACAUCUGACAUGAGAAACUUUGACGAACUCAAUAUACUAGUCCCUACUCGCUAGUGCUCCGCAUUUUUCGAAAAAAAAGCAUUAUUUUUAUUUUUGUGAUUUUUCUACGAAAUCGAACCAAUUUCUAGAUACCUAUUAUAUAAUUUAGGCUUUGUUUAGUUCUCAAAAUUUUUUGGUUUUGGGUACUGUGGUAUUUUUGUUUUUAUUUUGCAAUUAUUGUCUAAUCAUGUACUAAUUAGACUCAAAAGAUGAACUCAUGAUUUUAUAGAUAAACUAUAUAAUUAAUUUUUAUUUUUAAAUAUUUAAUACUUUAUGUAUGUGUCGCAAGAUAUAACGAGAAAUCUUGAAAAUUCUUUUAUUUUUGGGUGAACUAAACAAGGUCUAAGGGCCUGUUUAGAUCCCAAAUCUUUACAUCCUAAAAUUUUUGGCUGUAAACUUUACAUUCAAGUAGGUGUUUAGAUGCUUCCUAAUUUUUUUGUCUGCAAGACACAUGACACGGAUACCAAGCAAGUUUACACAGUUUUGGGGCUCCAAGGUCCCAAGUUCCAAAUCUUUACAGCCAAGUUUACAAGCCCCUGUUUAGAUCUAUUCUUCCAAAAAGUGCUCAUUUCUCCAAAAGUUUUGGUUUUUUGGCUGCAUCUAAACAGGCCCUAAAUGCUGCAUGUAUCAACAAACUCGCUUGAGGCCUUGUUUAGUUCGCAUUUUUUUUUUGUUUUUGAGUACUGUAGUAUUUCGUUUUUAUUUGACAAACAUUGUCCAAUCACGGAGUAACUAGGCUCAAAAGAUUCAUCUCACAAAUUACAGGUAAAUUGUGCAGUUAGUUUUUAUUUUCGUCUAUAUUUAAUGCUCCAUGUAUGCGAUUAAAGAUUCGAUUUGAUAGAAAAUUUUGAAAAUUUUUGCGAACCUGAGUGUACAAGCAACAAGGGCGCCCAUCUUUAGAGGAGUUGACCCAGCCUAGCAGCCUACGAUGUCCAUUCAUGUCUCUAUGAACUGGAUCGAUCGUCUCGCGUGCUAGUGCAACCAAGGGACAUGCGUGUAUUCAGAGUUUCAGACCGAGAAACACAGCGCAGCAAUUUCAUACGCCGAAGCUGGAGCAAAGUAUACCUGCACCAUCAGUCCGAUCCAACGCUGACUGCAUGCCGCUCAGAUCAGCCUGCGUCUGCGCCGGCGCCGGUCAAAUCACGGGCCGCAACGGCGGCUCUGCACUGCGCCGGGUCAGAAUUCUGCCGCGGCAAAGGGCUGACACGCGCCACCUUUGCGUUCCCAAAGCGUCAGGGACUCAGGGCCCAGCCGUCUGGCGGUGACGCGAAUUUGGGCCUGGAGGCCUCGCGACUGGGCUAGAGUUUUAUCGGCCCAUUAUCUACAGAAUGUGUUUAUCUUUAUUCUCUAUCUCUAUAUAAUAAUAUGGUGAAUGUCGGAUAAAUAAAAUCAGGCCUUGUUUAGUUCACCCCAAAAACCAAAAUCUUUUCAAGAUUCCCCGUCACAUCGAAUUUUACGCCACAUGCAUGGAGUAUUAAAUAUAGACGAAAAUAAAAACUAAUUACACAGUUUAACUGUAAAUCACGAGAUAAAUCUUUUAAACCUAGUUAAUCCAUGAUUGGAUAAUGUUUGUCAAAUAAAAACGAAAGUGCUACAGUUCCGAAAACUUUUCAGUUUUCGGAACUAAACAAGGCCUCAGUGAAUUUUGCACCAAAGAAUCUUGCACAUCAUUGAGCCACGUAGCUCAAAAAUACUAGCCGUCUGGUUAUGAUCGUAUGGUCCAACUAGAAAAUAAUGUUUCUAUUCUAGAGGUUCAUCUUGAGACAUGAAGUCUUCCUCCUCACCUUCUUUGUUGCUCACCCGCAGCACCAUAUAACUGUAACAGAUCCAUUGCCCUUAUUUGAAAACAUGUUAUGUGAGACAUAGGGUUGUUUGAUAACACGUGCAUCGAUUUUAACAUCUUUGGUACGGUGGAGAAAAGUCAUAGGCUACUCGAUCAAUGAGGUUCGUUGGACUGUCCUAUAACCUUUUAGAACUUACUCAAAAAGUUCUGAAGUUUAGGGUGGUUUAUCGAACCAUGUGACAGUGAUUACUGUGUCUAAUGGAUUACGGUGCAUAAGUUCUAAGUGAUUUUGUGGGUGAAAACUGCAUCUAUGGUUCUUUCAUGUCUAUGAGGUCAUGUAGAAUUGCUCUAGGCUCAUCGAUUUUGUGGGUGAAAAGCACAUCAAUGUACAUUGUUGUGUUUCACAAAAACAAUAGUUAGGAGAUCUUUAGGUGAGAAACUAGCUAGAUCUUGGUUGCUGGGGUUUAGGUGACUAAGCCACGGAUUCGACCCACCAGCAAUGUAGAGAAGAGUUAGUUGGAGCAUGUCUUGAAGUGGUGGUGGCUUAUCCAACUUUGUCCUCUUUCUUGCCUUCUCUUCCUUCUAGAAAUCUUCUCUCGGACCUUCCCAUGCUAGAUAGAAAGGGGACCUCCAUGUUUAAUCUCUAGCAAUAACACCUCCUUAGAUCUUCUAGGCAUCAUGGAUGCUCUUCUUGCUAUCCUCCCUCCUUUGCUUGGUUAGGUUUCUAGAUAGAGGAAGCAAGAACUAGAGAGAGAGUGAGGGGAGGGGCUCAUGUUGGCUUGAGUUCAUGAAGACAAGAUACUUUUACUGACAGGCGGGGGGCAGGGGAGUUUAGAACUUGAUAAGUCACCGCUCUAUGCAUGGCUGUGAUCCUAGACCAUCCAAUAAGAUUCAUCGAACCGUCUGAUAAACAUCGUAUUUGUGCAGACUGAACUAGUCUAAACCUAACAUUCACAGACCGUCCGAUGUGGAACAUCGGAUUAUCCAAUGAAUGACAAUAGAGCCCAAAAAAUACAGAAAUUAGCAUGCAAGCUUUUGAAAUUUAAUAUUUAAAUGAAGGUGAGGUGAUGCUUGUUUUAUUAAUCAAGAUGGCAUGACCAGGUCGUGAUAGUCUUGUAGUAAGCAUAGAUUGCUUUGGUGCUCAUUUCUUCGAUUCAAAUUUGCACGUCCGGACGCGACAGUGCUUGCUUGUCUAGUGUUCACAUUUUGUACACCACCUGAUGGUUCGGUGCUCCUUUUCUCAAUCUCGGACCUACACGUUACAAAGUUUUAUAGAGGAUUGUCCGGAGCUCACUAUUUUACCACUGUCAGGUGGUCUGGCAUAUGCAAUUUUAUUGUAGGCUCACCCGAUCAACCACCUGUGCAUUCUACAUAUUUAGGCCUCGUUUAUUUGCGCAGAAUUCAAUCCCGAAGCUGUUUUCUUUUGACCUAUGAAUGAGUAGAUCUAUAUCUGUCACUCAUUCUAUCAUAGGAAGCCGAUUCAGAUGGUAGGAGGUCCGGUUCUAUUCCGGAUUAAAAAAAGACCGUGGCAAUCCGUUGGGAACAGGCCCAUGAAUGGGUCAAUUCAGCCAAAACGAAUGAGGCCUUAGUGAGUGGUCAUCUUCUAUACUAACAUUGUUUUUCCCACUUUGUAACUCUUGAAGCCGAUGCCUAUUUUCAUAGAUGAGCAUUGAGUCAUCGCUAUCACAUUAUUAGCUCACUCCGCUCGUCUCUCGCUGUUGUUUUCUUAGGGUGCAUUUAGUUUCAAGUGGUAUCUCGUCUGCUCUUGUCUCGUCCUGCCGGCGCAAUCAUGAAUAAGCUUGGCCAACUAGGCGAGCGGUUUUGAUUCUCUCACAAGAGCAAAUUGAACCUUUACAAACUCUAAGACAUGGAGACAAAGAGAACCAAACUCACUUAAAGUCCUAGCUUAACAGACAAUAUAUAUAGUGGCAUGCAGAUAAACCAAACACGCUUUUAAUGAGCCAAGUUAGCAUUUCAGCUUGUUAACAUAAGAGCAUUUCCAAGAGACUAGGUAAAAUUAUAUUUUAAACUAUAAGAUUUAGCCAUUGUGUAAAAUAAAAAACUCACUCAAAGCAUAGAGUUUUAUAACAGCCUUUGUAUAUGAUAGCUAGUGAGGACGACAUACUAUAUAUGACAAGCGAAAAUUUAGGAAUAACAAAUUUGUUAUUUUAGCAAACCAGAUAGCACACCUGUUGGACUUUAAUUUUUAAUUUAAAAAUGUAAAAAUAGCAUAGAUAAUAUGGAUAACGUAUUUGUUGGAGUUGCUCUAAGUGGUUUGCGAGCUUAACGGACUGAGUCGCAAACAACAACGCCCCAAUAGGGUAAGGUCUUUUUGUUUGCUUGGAUGAUUUUGGCUCAUUUGUAUGAGCUCAGCCAGCGCAGAACGAGUCUGGUCCAAUAGGUGCAACUUGUUGUGUUUGUUUGUAUUUGAGCAAAAUUCAGUGCCAUCUUGAAUUUGGCCGACGGUGUCAUUCAAGUCUUUAAACUUACAAAGUGAUAUAUGUGAGUUCUGAAAUUUGACAGACGGUGUGUCUCUAAACUUUCAAGGUGAUCACCACAUAUCCCUAAACUAGACGUGCAAUGUUGUUAUCUUAGUCCCUGAACUUUCAAGCUGGUCACCGCAGGUCAUAAACUUGACAAACAGUGUCGUCCCUGUCCAAAUGUAACAGUAUUGAAAGUUACUUAUAACAUUAAAGUUUUUUUUCUAUUUUAAGUUACUUCUAAUUUUAGUAUUAUCCUAAAAGUUUAAUAGUAGUAUUAUAGAAGUAACUUUUCUCUAUUAUUAAUAUUAUAAUACUAUAACACUAUUAUUAAAACUUUUAAUACUAUAAUACUAUUAUUAAAAGUUUUAAUACUCUAAUACUAUUAUUAAAAUUAGUAUGGUAUUAUAGUAUUAAUAAUAACGAAAAGUUUCUUCUAGAACCUACUAUGAAAAUUUUUGAAAUAAUACUAAAAAUAGAAGUAACCUUUAAUAGAAAAGUUUUAAUACAAUAUGAAUUUUAGUAUUAUUUUAGUACUAUUAAUGAUACAUAAAUAUUAAAUUAAUUUUAGUAUUUUUCUAUUUUAGUUUAAACCUAAUAUAUUUGUUGUUGUAAAUUAUUAUAAUACUCUAAUUUAUUUUUUGCUGAUUUAAAUUAUCUUAUAUAAUUUACAUUUUCAUGAUAACUAUUACAUAAAUAAUGAUUGAUUAUUUAACAUAUAUUGGAUCCACGUGUCUAGCGUAUAGUCAGCGUGCCACACGCCAGCUUAUAGAUUAGGUAAGGUCAAAUUUGGACAGACAUCGCUUGCCAAAUUUAACGACAUGCAGUGAUCACUUUAAAAGUUCAGAGAUAAGGAAGACACCGCCGACCAAGUUUAGGAACUGUGGUGAUUACCUUGGAAGUUUAGGAUUCUAGAUGACAUGCUCUGUUAAAAUCAAGGACUCACGUAUAUAACUUUAGAAGUUAAAAAACCUAGAUAAUAUUGUUGGCCAAGUUCUGGGACGGAGGGACAGACAAUAAAUUUUGCUCUUUGUAUUUUUCUGGAGAGGACUAGAGGAUCUCGUUUAUUUGCCUACUAGAUGCGAUCACUUGGGAGGAGCAUGUUGAAGAGUUACACCCAGCUGCAGAUUUCUUUUCUCUUCUUUUAUGCAGCAAGCAGGUUGAACCACUGGCGGACGCAGUAUAUGGACAUGGGUGUACAGAUAUACACCCAAUAAUUUUGAGAAAAAAAAUUACAGGCACUAUACAUUUGUAUGUAUUGUACAUAUAAGUAGACCAAAUUAUGUAUAUUUGAGCCAAGUAAAGGAGUGUUUGAUUGGAGGGACUAAAGCUCAAUAGGUAUUGUAGCAUAUUUGUAACUAUAACAAUUAAUGUCUAAUUAUACACUAAUUAGGCUUAAAAAAUUAUCCCGCAAAUUAUUCUCUAACUGUGUUUUUAGUUUCAUAAAUAGUCUAUAUUCAAUACUUCGUGCAUAUGUCCAAAAAUUCGAUGUGAUAUAGACUAAAGUUUAAUAUGGUAACCAAACAGGGCCUAAGAGUAAAAAGGUCACGUUUCUUGCCUCCUCGCCUCCACCAUCUAGUUGGGUCUGACUGCUAGCUCAAGAAGCAAACUCACGGGGGAACCAACCAACCAGGAGUGAUGCCCUCUGCUCGUCCGUGACGGUGCCUCAAGCACUUGCUCUUCCUACUUGAACUCACCGUUCCCAAUUGACCAAAAAAUUUUGUUCCCCACCUGCACCGCUCGGCCACCUAGGGUUUGAUUUCAAUGGCAUUGGCACAAAGUCGACACCAGUAGGCGGCACGACAGCCGCACAGAGAACACACCAUGACACAAAUAAAUUUGUAAUGUUCCUUUAUCAGUUGAGACUUCACAAAUACUAUGUAUUAACUAAUUAAUUAUACGAAUGUAUUUUAUACUCAAGUACUGUUUGUUUUAAAUUGAUGGACAUUUAGUACAUAGUAUGCUAUAAUGGUUUGGUUCUUAUGUGUAUCUAUAUACACCAUGUACACCCAAUCUUCAAUUCCUGCGUGGGUUGAACGUCGUCCUCCGAACAACAGAUCACCGCCUAUGGGAGGUGACGGUAACGAGCAACAGCGACGGGGAGAGCCCAGAAAAACGAGACCCAUUUUCGUUUUUCUGGGCCUAGCUCCACCCUGCUUUAUGAACCGCGCGGGCCGGGCUCGUCGAAUGUACUAAAAACAAACAUGUCGUCGAGUUUUUUUUUUUUGACAAGAAACAAGGCUAUAUUAAUUAGCAGCAGGAAGCUGCGAUAAUGUUUACAUGAGGCAAGUCUAUAGUAAAUAGAGCUUGCAAAACAGAGCAGAUUGUACCACAAUGCACAGAAGAGCAAUGGCUUUCAAACUGCAAGGUAUCCGAAGAAUAAGCCUGCCUAGCUAGAGAGUCAGCUGUGCUAUUUAAAUUUCUGUGGAUCUUGUGUAAAUAUGACUGCCUAUUAGUCACACAGUUAGCAAAGAUCUGUGUGAAAGGUUUGAUGCGCCAGUCAGGUGGGUUGGUGAUGUCUUCCCUGUUGAGAAAGUAAACAAGUUGCUGGCAAUCCGAUAAGAAGUGACAGUCACUAAUAUUCAUUGCUUGUAAAAUUGUGGCCGCAAGUGCAAGACUUGCCGCUUCAGCCAUGAGCACCGAGGAGCUUGUAGAAAGUCGCGCCUUUAUGUAGAUGGAUUGAGGCGGCUGAACCUGAAAAUUAAGAAUAAAUAUACCUAGUCCAGCUUCCGUGAGAUGAGGGCUUUGGAGGUCUGGAGGUGCCGAGGCAUCAACAUAGCAUCUUGAUCCUUGGAGUAGCAUGGGAAACGUUACUUCGUUUUGUUGUUGUCGAGGCAAAGAGGCUGGGGACCGGACAGGGUGCCUGUGAGCUGCAUCGAUCGUCGAUGUAUUCUUGGCGAGGAACACUUGAGAGUGCAUAGUAAUGUGGGCUGCCACCGCAUUGUGUACCUGAAAAGGAUUCCAAUCUUUCCCACGGAAGUGAUAAUCAUUUCUAGCCUUCCAUAAGUACCAGAGAGUGAAUAAGAUCCUUGCAAAUAACGGUUCGGGCGUUGCUUGAGUUAUGAUAGUUUGCAAGAUUAGUUGUACUCCAUCAACUUCGUGGGGUAGGUCCUCUGAUCUGAGAGCAGGAGAAAAAGAAAGCCAUACCGCACGAGGAAGUUGACAAUGGAAGAAUAGGUGGGCGUCAUCCUCAAUUGCUCCACAGCGGUCGUUGUGUCCGUCGAUGUGGUUGGAAAACCUCGCAGCUCUAUCCGCUGUGGCGAGAGCCCUUCUGAUCAGUCUCCAGGUAAAUGUUUUGAUAAUAGGGGGAAGGUGGGAGGAUUUCCAGGUACGUUUGAGGAUUUGAUUGGUUUGAGGGAGGAUGCUGCGAGAACCUUGGGAAGGUAAUUGAAUAGUAUUGAGGCUAGAGAGGUGUUUGUAGAUUUCUUUGGUAGAGCAGAUACCAUUUUUAGCAGGUUUCCAACGAAGGAUAUCGUUAUUAUUGGCAGGAACAGGGUGAAUAGAGGCAAUUUGGUGAGCAGCUUGAGCGUCAAAGGUAGUGUUUAAAAGCUGAACGUUCCAGUUUUUGGAAUUGGGAUGCCAGAGAUCAGAGGCUAUUGCAGGUAAAGGGGUGUUAGUAACUGGAAGGAGCAAAUGGUCAUGGAUCUUUUCCCAAACAGGGCACCAAGGGGUUGACCAGAUAGAGGAAUCGCCUGAGUGGAGCUGCAGUUCAGUGUUGGUGGAGAGUUCCUGUCUGACCUGAGUAAUAGAAGACCAAAAAACUGAUCUGGUACCAGUGUUAGUAGCUUUCCAAAAGGAAGUGUUAUGGAAGUACUUGGCUUUAAGAACUGAGGUCAAAAGAGGGUUUUUAUUAGUGACGAUAUUAUAAGCAGAAUGUAUAAUGAGGCUCUUGUUAACAGUGUAUAAGUCCCUUAUACCUAAACCCCCAUUGUCCUUGCUUUGACAGAUGUCAUCCCAAGAUCUGAAAGCAAUAGGGGAGGUAGGGUUGUCUUCCUGCAUACCAGCCCACCAAAAGCGUCUGAUGAUAGCUGUAAUUCUUUCAAUAAAAGAUUUGGAAAAAAGCACGGUGGACAUAUAAUAAACAGGUAUUGAGGAUAAGACCGACUGGAUGUAAGUUAAACGACCAGCAUGAUUAAGUUUGUUUGCUUUGACUGUAGUGAGCUUGGCUUGGAAUUUAUUAAAGAUGAAAUCAUAAGCCUUGUUUCUAUCAUUAUGGUUAAAAAUCAUUGGAUGACCAAGGUGCAUAGUAUUAGGAAGGAGAUCAGGUACAGGAAAAAUAUUUUUAAUAGCACUUUGCAUGGAUGGAUUAACAUUCUUACUAAAAAGAAUUGAAGAUUUCUGUAAGUUGGGUACCUGUCCUGAGUGAGUACAAAAUCUUUGAAUAGUUGCUUGAAUUGUAGUUGCGUCCUGAAUAGUUGCUCUGCCACAGAGAAUGAGGUCAUCUGCAAAGAAAAGGGAAUGGAUUGGGGGACAUCCAGGUCCAAGAGUGACCCUUGUUAAAUUGUCAUUUUGCAUCUGUUGUUGCAAUAGAAUGGAGAGUUCAUUGAUGGCAAUAAUGAAGAGGUAGGGAGAUAGUGGACAGCCCUGACGAAUUCCUCUAUGAGACUGAAAACCUGCAGUAGCUUCACCAUUAACCAAAAUAGAGAAGGUAGGGGUUGAUAUGCAUGCAUGAAUCAAAUGAAUAAAAUGGAGAGGCAUUCCCAGUCUCCUAAGAGCUUGCAUAAUGAAGUCCCACUCUAAUCUGUCAAAGGCUUUUGCUAAGUCCAAUUUAAGUAAGAAAGCUUGAUCCUUCCAAGACUUGAGAUGGAAAGAGUGAAUGAUCUCCUGUGUAAUGAUAAUGUUAGCUGAGAUAUGCCUGUUUUUGAUGAAAGCAGCUUGGGAGCGAUCAAUAUAGUUAGGCAGGUGAGGUUUUAGUCUGUCAGCUAAGGAUUUAGCAAUUAUUUUAUAAAUGACAUUGCACAGGCUAAUAGGGCGAAAAUCUUGUGGGGUGAUAGGCUGCAUUUUUUUUGAAAUUAGAGCUAUAAAAGUUUGGUUAAUUUCAGGUUGCAUGAAGCAAGUGGAGUAAAAAUUAGUUACCAAAUUAUGAACAUCGUUUGCAAUCCAGGACCAUGCCGAUUUAAAAAAUGCCGCAUUCAAGCCAUCUGGUCGAGGAGAUGCAUUACUUCUCAUGUCCUUAAUGAUGGCAUGUAGCUCUUGGAUUGAUGGUGUCGAGGUUGUGAACUGCAUAGGGGUUGUGCUCGCCUGGUUGUGAAGGGACUGAUCUCCUUCAGUGGCGCUGCUGUCAAUAUUAUGCAUCUCUCGAGGUCUCUGUUCCUGAAAAAGAGUAGAGUCUUCAUUGUUAGAGGGAUUAGAAAUCCUUGCGCCUGGUGGAGUGUUGGUGGAGAAAAUAUUUUGGAAAUAGGUUAACCGGUCAAUUCAGACAAACAAACGGGCCUGUGACCCAAUCCAAUUUCCACUAAGGCCUUAUGUAGUUCCGAAAAGAUUUCGGAUUUUGUACUGUAGCAUUUUUAUUUGUUUGUGGUAAAUAUUAUUCAAUCAUAAAUUAAAUAGGCUCAAAAGUUUCGUCUCAUAAAUUACAGACAAAUUGUGCAAUUAUUUUUUGUUUUCUUCUAUAUUUAGAGCUUCAUACAUGUGCCACAAAAUUUGAUGUGACAGAAAAUCUUAAAAAGUUUUUGAAUUUCAGGGUGAACUAAACAAGAUCUAAGUUAAAAGAAAAAAAUCCACUUAAAAAAAUAAAAGAAAAAAAAUCCGAUCUCCAGCUGCACUGCAGGAGUCGAGUGCCGACCAGUCAACCGUGAGGCUGCUCCGUCCAGUCGUCCGUCCUCUCCCUUCCCUCUCAGGCCCGCUCGCGGCUCGCACGUAGCAGUGUCGCCGCCUCGCCGGGGACGACGGAUAUCGCAGGCGCCGCACCCCGUUCCCAUCCUUGUCCGCUUGUCAGAUCAGACCCCCAUCUGGCCGUUGGUACCCCCCUCUCUCUCACGCAGCCCAGCCAGGCUCGCACGCAGGCAGGGGCGGCGACCGCGACCGCGACCGCGACCCGCAAGGCGCCAAGGCGGGCGAGCCCGCCGAGGCGGAAGGCGCCUCGAGAUCUCCUCCGCGCGGCUCGCGGGUCAGAAGCAGCAAGUCGCAUUUGUAAAUUCAUCAUCGUCCCCGCCUGCAAAAUAUCUGCCGUGGCCUCCUCGAUUACCUUCCAUUCUCUGAAAUCCCAAUUCGGCAGUCCCCCAAAUCGCACGCCCCCACUGCUACGUUCCCCCUUCGAGCGCGCGCCCAGUUAGCCCCGUCCGCGGCCGCGGGUUGACUCGCAAUCGCAAGCGUCUAGAUCCGGGCUUCCCACCUCCGACGACGACCGCGCAGCCGGCCAACGCGGAAGCCCCGCGAUAAAUCGCUGUGCCCCAUCCUUUGGCGUCCCCCACACCACCGACUUCACCGGAGCAGGAGGAAGCGUCUGAAAGGUGAGAGUUCCUAUCAUCUGCUUUCUCUGGGGUUUUCGACCCGUUUCUGCUUCAGGGCAGGUACCGGAAAAACCCUAACUUGAGGCUUGAGGCGACGCCGCUGGCGCUUUGAUGGCCCGCCACCACUUGGGAGGUUUCUCGGCGACGCCUCCGUGGGUUGAUGUUGUGCUAAUCAAUAAUGUCCUGCCAUGUUCAGGCUGCGCACGAAACUGCUACUAUGCGAAGUGGCUAUCAUUGGUCCUGACGGGAUGCCCUCACCUAACAAUUGACGCUCUUUUCUUUUCUUCUGUCCAUGGCGGCCUUUAGUUCGUGCAGUGACUUCUUGCGCUAGCAUACGACGCAUGCUUCGGCGAGGUGGCUUCAUGUUUUUUUCCAUUGUUUUGUCUUUGUUUUUUAAAACAGAUUCGGCAACGCUUCAUGUGCCUGAUUGGUUGGUUGCGCGGGCUCGCGAGGCCCUAGCACCGAGUUCAGGGAGCACUUCGUGGGCUUACAGCGACUUGUUCACUCGUCUUGAGGUGCUGGAGCUGUCACGUUGUGGUAGUUGAGAGGGAUCUGUCCAAUUUGCAUAGUUGCGAGGAAAGGUUCCUGAGGUAUGCUGUACUUGUUUUCUUAUUAGAAACUAGCUCAUCCCAUUAUUGUGACCUUGUCUAAGUUGUCCUCCUUGACUUGGACAAGUGCUUAGGUAGUAGAAUAGGUCUUGUUGAUAUUUCUACCAUGUCCUGUCAUCCUAGCAACCUAACAUGCUUGUGACGUGCCCCAAGCUUGUUUGACUUCCCUGGCUGUCAUAGACCAACGCAUUAUAUCCCCACGAGAUUAGUUGAUAAGGCUAGCUGCUCGGUGGCCGUUGCAUGUCUUCCCUCUUUCUCUUGCCACCUUGGGCAUCUUCAGCUGCCUUAAAAAGAUACAUGCUUCAUACCUAGAUCAUUUGGUGUUCAAUUUUGGUUUUAAGCCAUGGCGAAUUCCCGGAUUGGACGUUACAAGGUAUUUGUCAAUCUUUGCUUGGCUACUUUGGUUCUUUAUAGGUGGCAUAAUUUGAUCUUCUUCUAAUUCUUCCAUGAAGUUCUGCUGCCUCAUCUUGUGCCUUUGAUUUUGUCGUGCAACUUAUUUGAAGUAUCUGUUGUCUGCCUUUUGUUGUUUGUUUCAUCUUGUUUUGUUUUGGUUUGACCUUCUUGAGCCUUUACCAUGCUUGCUGGUUUUGUAUCAGAAAAUUUUGAUUGGAUUCAAGCUUGCUACAGAAGAUAAACAGGAUGGCCUAACAUAUGAACUUAUGAAUCAGAGAUUUAAUUUCUUUCUAUUAUUCUCAGAGGUGUAAAGUUACUCGAUAUUGGAUUAUUUGAUAGCACCAUUUGAUAAAUAUUGUUUCUUUUAUUCAGUAAAUGAGUCAUGACUUAGAGUUGAUUUCUUAUUUGGCAUAUAUGUGUUGGAAGGGCAUCCUUAGAAGUUCAUACCAAUCCCAACUAGGAGUGCAUGAAAAUAUGCUUUGUUCUUUAAUCCCAACUAGGAGUGCAUGAAAAUAUGCUUUGAUCUUUAAUAUGUGAUGGUGAUGAACUCUUUGUAGCACAAAUUAAUGAGUAGUACAACUAAUUCUGGCAGGCAUGAAUAUAUUUGUGAGGAGUGCUGAUAAUCUCAAUUGUUACUGUAUGAAAUUUGAUUGGAAGAUGUUGAUCUAGGGGCUGGGCCAAAAUUUUCAAGGCUCUGUAUAUUUUGUAUUGUGCAUAGUUUUUGGGCAUUCUUCUGGAUAGUCCAUUACUACAUUAGUAUCUUGUCAGAUUUACAUCGAUAGAGGUUUUAAGGUCCAGUUGGCAUCAUCAUAUGUCAAAAUAUGUGUUACCCUUGCCCCUUGGCAUUAUAUGAAUGACAAGGUUGGUUAAAGAAUUAUCUGGGUUGUCAAACAAUUGAAAUUUCAUGGGGUGAAAGGUGGGCAAUCCUAUUUAGAGGACAGCAAUAUCUGACCCACCCUGCCCCCUUGUACUAAUUUGUUUGCUCCUUUUGUUAUGGUACAGUUACAUACUGUAAUGGAAUAGAAUAUGUGAGAGAGUUCAUUAGCAAUAUGGCAUGCAUAUUACUAUCUUCAUGUGUAUUUGUGGUUUUCAAAUGCUGUUGACCUGCCUGUUCCCUUUACCAUGGUUGCAGCCUUGUUUAUUAGGAUUUAAAACUCCUACAUAAGCAAGCAAUGUGAUGAACAAUGUCUGUCGUCUAGCAUUUUAAACCAAAUGCAGUUGAAGAAUUCAGUGUCUCAUAACUAGAGGACUAGGAUUUUUUUUUCUCGAAUGCACAGGAGAACUACUCAUCAUUGCAUUAAGCAGGAUAUAAAAUAUUUACAAGACAACAUGCUGCACUAGCUCAGAUUAUGAACUGGGAUCUGUAUUUGUAAUGGUGAAUAAUUCAUUUUAUUGUAUCAUAUAAUAUGGUAUUAUGAUAUGAACUGAUGAUACAAUGAACUGUAGAAAGAGAUUUGUACGCUCUUAUCCUUUUACCCUUCAGCAAAGUUCUUCUAGGAUGGUCACUUACUUUCUUUACAUUCUAGUAUAUGGAAUUUGGAAACCUAUCCUUAAAAUCUUUACUAUCUGCUUCAUUGAUUUUAGUGUGUUUUUUUCCCUUGAACAUGCGUGCGUGCCAGAGUUUGUUCCAUAUGCUAUAGUAGCUACUCAUGAAUCUUUUUGAAGAUUUAGUAAUUGUAGUUUGCAUGUUGCAGAUGUCUAAUCUCUCAGACCCCUCAAAAGAAGAUACUUCACCUGAAGGUUCAGGUACUACCCAGAGAACUGGAGCCUGGAGUAACACAUUGAACACUCUUCUGCAGCAAGCCUCAGUCUAUGGUGUGGCUGCCGGGUAUUGUUUAUCAGCGUCGCUGCUCUCCAUCAUCAACAAAUGGGCAAUCAUGAAAUUUCCAUAUCCUGGAGCCCUGACAGCUCUGCAAUACUUCACUAGUGUUGCUGGAGUUCUCCUAUGUGGACAGCUCAAGCUCAUUGAGCACGACGGCCUUAAUCUGAGGACAAUGUGGAAGUUCUUACCUGCUGCUGUGAUGUUCUAUAUCUCCAUCUUCACAAAUAGUGAGCUCCUGCUUCAUGCCAAUGUGGAUACUUUCAUUGUGUUCCGCUCUGCUGUGCCUAUAUUUGUCGCGAUUGGGGAGACGCUGUAUCUUCAUCAGCCAUGGCCAUCACUCAAGACAUGGCUUUCACUUUCCACAAUACUUGGUGGAAGUGUGAUCUAUGUUUUCACAGACAACCAAUUCACUGUGACUGCUUACACCUGGGCAGUGGCCUACCUAGCAAGCAUGUCCAUUGAUUUCGUGUACAUCAAGCACGUCGUAAUGACCAUUGGGCUGAACACAUGGGGCCUUGUGCUAUACAACAACCUUGAGGCUUUGAUGUUAUUCCCCCUUGAGCUCCUUAUAAUGGGAGAAUUUGAUCAGAUGAAGGUCGACAGCUCCAAUGUGUCAAACUGGCUUUCAUUUGAUGUGGUCCUCCCUGUUGCUCUCUCAUGCCUGUUUGGACUAUCGAUAUCCUUCUUUGGAUUCUCCUGCAGACGGGCUAUCUCUGCUACUGGGUUCACAGUGCUUGGCAUAGUGAACAAGCUCCUAACUGUUGUGAUUAAUUUGCUUAUUUGGGACAAGCAUGCCUCUUUUGUGGGUACCAUUGGGCUCUUGAUAUGCAUGUCAGGUGGUGUGCUCUACCAGCAAUCCACCACGAAACCAAAGGCACCCAAGGCUGAGCCGAAGGAAGAGAACGACGAGGAGCAGCAGAAAUUGCUGCAGAUGCAGGGAGUGCAAGAGAGCAAUUCAACUCAAAAGUAAAGCUCUUCAUAAACCUUACAAGGAAGUUCCUUUGAUGCAUUAUCUCCUUUGCAACAGCCUCACCCUGAACGUUUUUGUAUUGGCUAAUAUACUUGGAAAGAAGCAUAUGGAUGAAUGCAGUCCUGGACUAGGAGCUACAAAAUCUUAUGUUUUAGAUAUUAGAAGUCAUGGAGGGGACCAAAUUAUCACUAUGCAAUUCUUUAUAACUAUAUUGCUGCUUUCAUUUGUAACGCAAAAUUGUUAUGAUAGGAUACCAGGUACUCAGCAAAUAUACCACAUUGAAUACUUCCUAUACGAAAACAUCUAUCUCAUACAGUUCGGUGAUAGUAUGAUCUGUGUUUAGUCAUUCCUCUCACAACAAAUCAACAAACAGUUUUUUCACUCAUAGUUUUUCAGCAAAGCGACCAGAUGUGAAAUUGACUUGCAGGGGUGCGUCACGUUGAGUAAGAGCUUCUUUGAAGUAUGUAGUGCAUGUUUGGACAGGGGAUAGAGAUAGGGAAAUAUUGUAUUCUAGCCAUCCGUUCUCCACACCUCAUUUAAUCUGAAUUAUUCAUUUAUUUCUCUUUCCCUGUCCCAGCCCCUGUAUUCCAACAUCCAAACAACACCUAUAGAGUGUCCUUGAGUACUUGGAUAAGUCUAACGCUUUGCGAAGAAAUAGAUCGGGUGCAAACUAUAGAAAUAGACUUGAAAUAGAUGAAACAAUAAGUAAUCACAACAAGUAUGCAAGACAUAAGAACUCGAGGUUCGGCCAAACCACAAGGAAGGCUACAUCUUUGUUAUUGAGGUGACUACAGAGGUCUAAAGUCUGUUUCACCUCUCUUCCUGUCUUAAGAGACCACAAAGGUCAAUCUUGAGUUAUGCACUAGAUGAAUCUAGGUAUUACAAACCUCUCGGAGCUCAUCACACAAUUUUGGAACUUUAUGGGCGAUGCCUAGCUGGUUAGGGGCAAAGCUCAAAGAGUAACAAACAUGAACCGCACCAGCUUGAUAGAGAAAUCAAGUGCUCAAGGUUAAUCACAUCUUCUCUUGCUAGAAUCCUUCCCUUCACUCUCUAGCAAGAUCGUCGAAAUCAAAGGGGACAAAGAGAAGGAUUUUCUACGCACUAGACAAGGAGAUAUGCCAAGUCAAAAAAAUGGAGAAUUGAGAUGUCAAAUUGUUGGAGACGAUUUUUUCUUAUUUUGCUACAAAAAUUAUGGAUAUUAAGUUAUUUGCCAAACUGUUGGAUGAAAACGGAUACGAACGGAUAUCACUGAUAUCAUAUUUGUUUUCAUAUUUCUGGUCGAAUUCGGAUUCGAAUACGGAUAAUGUCAACCAUGUCGGAUAAGAUAGAAUUUGAUGUCGACAUUAUAAAUAUAUGAUUUAAGUAUUCGAAUACGGAUACGAAAUCGGAUAUUGAAUAUUCGAACUCGAAUACGGACAGAUCUGAACGUCUUUAACGAAUUUGGUCUCGAAUACGGUCGGAAAAUAUUCGUACCGUUUUCAUCCCUACUAGCCAUUUUCAUGGGAUCUAUCAAAAAAUCAGUCUUCAUAUAAAGGGCUUGUUUUGGUAGGUCUCCAAUUCGAGCUAAAACAACUUUAGGCCUUGUUUAGUUCACCUCAAAAACCAAAAACUUUUCAAGAUUCUUCAUGACAUUGAAUCUUGUGGCACAUGAAUGAAGCACUAAAUAUAGACAAAAAUAAAAACUAAUUGUACAGUUUACCUAUAAAUCUAAAAACGAAAGUGCUACAGUUCCGAAUACCAAAAAGUUUCCGGAACUAAACAAGGCCUUAGUUGUAGCUUUGCUUGUGAAGCAGAUUCACUUGAGAGGUAAAAGCUGUUUUUUUUUUGUUGUUUGGUAGUUUAGAAAGGGUAAAAUAUCCAUAAUACCCUCAUUCCUUUUCCUUUUUCCUUUUUUCUCUUUUCUUUUUUUUCUUUCCCUAUACCUUAUCCGGUCCCUCGCGUUGCAACCGCACGGCCCCGCACGCGUUCGCUCGCGUCUUCAACCUCUGGAAGCCGAGCUCCUAUCCCGCCGCCGCCUGCGCCUGGAAGCGCUCCCGGCCACGGGCCACCGGAGGCGCCGCGGCUCCCUCCUCCGCGCGCCCUCCGUCCCGCACCUCCCCGCGCUCCUCCGCCCGGAAGCCGGCGUCCGACGGACCCGCGCCGCCCGCCCCCGACGGCCUCGCGCACAGAGCUCCGGCGACCUCGCGCCCGCACGGCUCGGUCGGGGCAAAAACGCCCAUCGCCCUGCGCGGGGCCCACGGCAACCGAGCGGAGCUGGGAGAAGCUCGUCCACACGGAGGUGUACGGGCACUUAAGCGUGACAAAAAGUCUCCUUCCUCGGUGUUCCUCUUUCUCCUACCGCUUGCUGGCUUCCCAGCUUCCGCUCCAAUGGCGUCUCUUCUCUUCGUCCCACGCCCCACCCGGAGCGCAUGCGCGAAGACCGGACCCAGUGCCACUCACAAGCCUAGGCGCGUCUCCAUCACCUGCGGGCCGCGCGACAACCGCGGGCCACUCCAGCGCGGCCGCUCCCUCUCCACGGAGGCCAUCCUGGCGAUCCAAUCCCUAAAGCGCCUGACCUCCGCGGACCGCUCGCCGGCAGCUGCCACCGCCGCCGCCGCCACCGCCCUGGGCCGCCUCCUCAAGGCGGACCUCGUGGCCGCCAUGGCCGAGCUCCAGCGGCAGGGCCACUGGUCCCUGGCCCUCGCCGUGCUUCACGUCGCCCGUGCGGAGCCCUGGUACCGCCCGGACCCGGCGCUCUACGCCACCUUCGUCUCCUCCGCGCCAACCUCCUCGCCCUCCGGCGAGGCCGAGGCCGCCGUGGACGCGCUCGUGGAGGCGUUCCUGGAGGAGAAGGCGCGCGGCGGCGGGUUCGUGGACGGGGAGGAGGACGUGUACAAGCUCACGAGGCUGCUGCGCGCGCUGGUGGCCAAGGCCAGGGGCCGCGCGGCGUGGAAGGUAUAUGAGGCGGCCGUGAGGAAGGGAGGCCUCGACGUCGACGAGUACGUGUACAGGGUGAUGGCGCGGGGGAUGAAGCGGCUGGGGCUCCACGAGGAGGCGGCGGAGGUGGAGGCCGACUUCGCCGAGUGGGAGGCCACGGUCUCGCCGCCCGCCAGGGACGUGCUCGACGAAAUGCGAGCGAGAGACGAGAGCAAGACGACUGCCUCUGCCACUUAGUCCGCCAGGGAUUUUUCUUUUUUAUGGUUUUGUUUAGAUUUGAGAAGUUUUUGUAUUUUGACACUGUAGCAUUUUUGUUUUUAUUUGAUAAAUAUUGUCUAAUUAUGGAGUCACUAAGUUUAAAGAUCUAUAUUUAAUGCUACAUGCAUGAGUCACUGAGCUUAAAAGAUUUAUAUUUAAUGCUAUAUGUAUAUGUCGUAACUUUUAAUGUAGCGGAGAAUCUUGAAAAGUUUUUAAUUUUCGAGUGAACUAAACAAUACCUUAAUCUUUGGAUUGGCAAAUGGCCCCAAGAGAGAGAAAACAGCCAGACUAUUUAUUUCGUAUUGUACGAGAUGUCUAUCGACGUUUUCCCCUAUCCAUACUUCACAUUUCCAGCUACAAACUAUUAUCGAGGAAUAACAUAGAGGAAAAAAACAAACUUCAUCAUGCUGCUGUACAUAAAAGGUAGACAGCCGGUUAGCAUUAAAAUCUGACGGAAUAGCACGAAUGACACAAAUAAACUUCACAAAGACGACUAACUUUUCAAGCAAGAACACAGAGGUGCAACUUUCGUAAUAACAUAAGAAAAGUCUCCGGUAUAUUCCAUCCCUGCUCGCUUGGCCAACAAAGCCCGCCUGGCUCUAUCGUCCACUCCCAUCCGCCCAAACGCUUCGGUGUGGCCCAGAUCAACCUAACCUACCGCGACAGACACAGACGGCCCGCGGCUUUGCCCCCUUUCUCCUCUCCCUCCCUCUCCGCUCACCCUUGCCGGUUGCCGCCACCCUCCUCUGGCUGCCGUUCCACCGGCGUCGCCGCCAGCCCGCUGAAGCCUCUUGCGCGAGGCGCGACCUUCUAGAACUUGGCCUCGAUCUCGGCCUCUUACCGCCCCGCAGCCGCGCUUCCUCCUACACCGGAGAUUUGGGUUUAUUGGUAGGCCCUCGAACCCCCUUGUGUUUCCCCUAAUUCUCGGCGGAGGAUGGAUUCCUCGCACAUGGUCAGUCACUAAUUAGCUAGCGGCCGGAAUGCUCCGUCCAUAGCUCGCUUUUAUGCAGCUGAUUUCUUUGGCUGCUGCAAUUCCGCUUACGCGCCUUUCUGUAGGCUGUAGCUCGAUAGGAAGGAAAUCUAUUUGCUCAGCUGGUACUACUCAUUCUGUGCUUGCUUGAUUCAUUGGUCUGUGGUUUACAGACGACAAUGUGCUAGGAGAACGAAUUUAGGUGGCACGCUAGUGGUGAUCCGUUGCCCUCCCUGAGAUAGCAGCCAUGUCGACGAGGAGGCAUUUUGCGAUAUUCACCACCGCAAGCCUCCCAUGGAUGACGGGAACAGCCAUCAACCCUUUGUUCCGGGCCGCUUACUUGGCAAAGGAUGGUGAUAAGGAUGUUACGCUAGUGAUCCCCUGGCUUUGUCUAAGGGACCAAGAGUUGGUUUACCCUAACAAUAUUGUAUUUGACUCGCCUUUGGAGCAUGAGAGCUAUGUUCAUCACUGGAUCGAGGAGAGGAUUGACUUCAGGCCAUCCUUCAGCAUCAAAUUCUACCCAGGAAAGGUAUAGUAGCUAUGCACCUUGUAAUUUCUAUGUCAAACCGAGAGGAUAUCAACACAAAUUAGUGACUUGAAUUAUCUUGUCACUCUCCUGUUGCACUUUGCUUUUUUUUCGGUCCAGUAAGACCUGAAUGGAGUUUGUUUCAAACUGAUUGUUUUAUCCAAUGUGAGCCGUUGGGUUAUCUAGCACUUCAUUCAAUUUCUUUGACGAGUUCUGCUCCUUUCCUGUAGCUAACCUAAGCAUUUAAGAGAAACUUUGUUCAGUGCCUGAUGCAUGCAGACCUUGCUUCUGUUAGCUGUUAGCUCCAUCCGACAAUAUUCAUGCCUUGCAUCUCUUAUUUUUGCUUUGCUACUUAAGAUAACAAGAUAACCUGACUCUUUUUUUAUGAUGCAGUUUUCUAAAGAAAUGAGAAGCAUUCUUCCUGUUGGAGAUAUUACAGAAUGCAUUCCAGAUGAAGUUGCUGACAUUGCUGUAUUGGAAGAGCCCGAGCAUCUGAAUUGGUACCACCAUGGGCGAAGAUGGAAAAAUAAGUUCCGGCGAGUUAUAGGAAUUGUUCAUACAAAUUAUCUAGCAUAUGUAAGGAGAGAAAAGAAUGGUCAAGUUAUCGCUUGUUUCCUCAAGUAUGCUAACACUUGGGUAACUCGAAUCUAUUGCCACAAGGUAAUCGCAUGAGUAUGCAACUAUGCAUAUCUACACUAGAUCAUUUCUUUCGAUUAAAUUUCUCUGGUAAACCUUGUCUAUGAUGGCACUUCUUUCUUGACAUAAGUUAACAAUCUACAAUAUUGUGUUUUGUGAUAAAUAGAAAUAUGUGAAUAAAUGUGUUUACUUGCUAUUCAUAAUUCUGAAUGCAUGCAUGCAAGCCAAAAAUAUAUUCUUCAGAUAUAGUACCAAUAUUCUUGUUAGUGAUAACCCUAUCUAUCUCCUGGUCUUAUGCUGUGAAUACAAUAGGUGCCUUUCCCUAAAAAAAAUAGUUGGUACUGUGUAUAACUUAUAAGUAACAAAGAUGAAUGAGAAAAGCUGCUUAAUUUUGGGGCUGUCUACACAGUGUUCAAGUGUUUUUAGGAGAAAAAACUCUUGAAUUUUUACCCUAGAUCAUUCAUCCAAUGAUCACCGCAUCUUCUUCCUCGGUAUUUCUUCUACCUUGGCCACCUUCACAGCUUGCACAGCACAGACCAAAACUUUGCGAUCUGCUCGUCAGCAAGCUCAUCUAGUUCAUCAUGCCCCCAUUCCAUACUCCUCCCAUCACCAGCAACUCUCGCUGCCGAAUUCGUGACCGCAGCUCGCUACCAUGCUAACCUCUCUUGGUUUUAUGCCACCGCCCUAACCCUGCGCAUCGGCUGUCCUCCACUACCCUGGUCGCGCCCUCUCCGCUUGCUAUCCCACCCAUCCACCGCCUCCACCACCGUGCUGGCCUUCCUCCCCUGGUCCUGCUUCUACGCCUGGGUAAAUAUGAGAUCCCUAGCCUCCAAACCCCCAUAUCCCUAACCCUAAACCCACAGACCCUCACUGGAGAAGCCUCCUCCUUGAACCCUUAAAGAAAAAUCAUGUGUUGGGUUCCUAUGAAACACUCUGAGGUUAGGAUAGAGCUUAGCACACUGAUUAUUUUAGUGGAUUGGUAAUUAUGGAAGCUCCAAAAUGACUACAUUUUUAACGACGCCUCCCCAGAUUUGAUUUGGCUGGUUCAUUCUAUUUUGGAGGAUCUUUGUGGUGUGCUUCUGGGGCUAAAAGCUUCAGGAUUUGGUUGUACAGAAGGCUAGAGGUGUUUUAACCUAGUUGCUGUCCUUUCUGGUUGUUUUUCACUCCUGUUUUACGAACUGGUGUUGGGGGUGUUGAACUGUUGAUGUAUGCAGCAUUGUGUUGGAAAUGUGGGGUUUCCUUUGUGUUUGUCUUUUCUUCUCCUUAAAUGAAAUGAUGCACGGCAUAUUUGAGGAAAAAAAUUCUAGUAUGUAGAGUUGAAUUGAGAAAUGCAAGUACGAUAAUUUCUGCACUAGCGAGAGAAUCGAACACUGCGAAACUUGUCAAUGAUUUUGUAAGAUCUGGUGUGCUGCUCCACCAAUGGGAUGUGAACAUAUGCAAUCAGUAUUAGAUUUGGUUAUGGAUGAUUUGUUUUAGUUCUAAAUACAAAGGGCGAGCAAGAGUAUGGAUUUUGACACAUAAUUUUUUUAAUUUAAAUUUCAAUCAUGAUGGGGUAUGCUAGGAAUAGGCAUACUUUCCUUUUAAGUAGCUAACCUUACUGUAGAAGCACAAUUAGAUACUUAUGUACAAAUAUUCUAGAAGAGUUUUAUGGUGGUACCCAGUCAUGGUCGCCUCUUGCUUACUUAAUGAACUUAUAACAAUGUUCAGUAUUUGCAUGCAAUGUUAUCUUAUAUUGCUACAAUACUAAGUAUAAAAUGAGGUUCAAGAGAUAUGUCACUUAUGUACCUUGUAGUUCUCUCAUAUAAAUGCAUUUGCUCGUUUUCCUUCUCCUCCUAUAAAAAAAUGUUGAAUUUGGAAAACUGAACACCCAGUUAUCAUCCUGUGCUGAUUGAUUGAGCCAUGUACAAAAUUAUCCUGAUCUUAAUGCAGAUUAUCAGAUUGUCAGGUGCCACCCAAGAUCUGCCCAGGUCUGUUAUAUGCAAUGUCCAUGGUGUUAAUCCAAAAUUUCUUGAGGUAGGCAAGCUAAAGUUGAGGCAGCUGCAGAAUGGGGAGAAAGCCUUCACAAAAGGGGCAUACUACAUCGGGAAGAUGGUAUGGAGCAAGGGAUACAGGGAGCUUCUUGAUCUGCUAUCCAAAUAUCAGAGCAAGUUGGUUGGUCUUGAAGUGGAUUUAUAUGGUAGCGGAGAAGAUUCUGAUGAGGUCUGUGAAUCUGCCAAACGUUUAAGUUUGUCUAUCAAUGUUCAUCCUGGUCGUGAUCAUGCAGAUCCCUUGUUCCAUGAGUAAGUUUCUUAUUUACUAUACUCAUUCCGUCUUAUUCUGUUAGACAUUUGUACAUGUGUAACAUGCCUAAUACAUCCCUCUGUUCUAAGUUAAGAGUUUGAAUGCAAAAUCGGUAUUGCCAUUGUCAAGAGUCAAGACAGUAAAAGCAAUUUCUUCUUCAGUUUUCUGUCAACAUUAUUAGAUAAAUAUGUAAGUUUUGUGAUCUUAGUGAACUAAAACACAGGUUACACAAAGUUAUGUAAACGAGAUUAAGGAAUGAGUGGGGUAAUGUUAGGUGACCUGAUAGUUUCAUAAUAAGAUUUAACAUUUCUGAUGCACUUAGGAUACACCAACUGUUUGUGCUCAACUGAAAGUUUGAAACACUGAUUCUCCGACAGGUACAAAGUAUUCAUCAAUCCCAGCACCACAGAUGUGGUCUGUACGACCACCGCUGAAGCGCUGGCAAUGGGGAAGAUAGUUAUAUGUGCCAAUCACUCGUCAAAUGAGUUCUUCAAGCAGUUCCCCAACUGCCGUAUCUAUGACAAUGAAGACGAAUUUGUACAACUAACACUGAAUGCUCUAUCAGAGCAGCCUGCUCCAUUGACAGACGCGCAGAGGUACGAGUUGUCAUGGGAGGCUGCGACUCAGAGAUUCAUUGAGGCUGCUGAUAUAAAUCCUCAUGUGCCGGAGUCCAGGACCCAUCAAAGCUCGAGGGCUUUGUUGCCUGCUUUUCUAAGAACUCGUAAACUGAAACAGAACUUAGAGGACGCAUCAGUUUACCUGCACCAAGCCCUCUCAGGUCUGGAAGUCACUCGCUGUGCGUUUGGUGCUGUUCCUAAGACGCUGCAGCCUGACGAGGACCUCUGUAAAGACCUUGGUUUGGCUCCUCCUGUAAAUAGGAAAAGGCUGAAAUUUAAGAUGACGUAAUGUUUGUGACUUAUACCAACUAGUACUUCAUGUUCUAGUCCAAAGGAAAAUACUAGUACUUCAUGUUUGAAAAUACUAGUACUUCAUGUUUGCGUUGCUUCGCUUCAUGUACAGCACACUGUAGACUGUUGUAGACAUUUAUAUUUUUCUUCUCAAAAGGGACAUUAACAGACAAUCCGGAGGGAUUCUUUUGACUAUUAACUACUGGAACGUGUGAACUGGAUUAGUACAUUGUAAAUUGGUCUGUUAGCUUUUAGGGCUAGGGAUUCUUUGAACAGUGCUGUAAUUCUGUGAGUCGGUUAAUGGAUCGUAAUGAACUGUGAGGUAUGAUGUACUCGCGCUGGUAGCGCUGCCAACGCUUACGCCGUAUGGUUUUACGGCUAUAUAAAGCGUGCUGAUCACUCGAUUAUUCACGUCCGUAUGCAUAGGUAUUUGUAGUUGAUGAUCAUUUAGGUCCUCUUUUGAAUGCAGGUUUUUUUCUGUUUCCUGUGUUUUUCCUAUGAAAAUUAUCUGAUUCUUAUAAAAUUUCUGUCCUGUGUUCUAAAGGGCAAGUUAGGCCUUUUUUAGUUUCCAAAAAAUUUUGCAAAAAUUUUUAGAUUUUUCAUCACAUUAAAUGUUUAGACGUACGUAUGAAGUAUUAAAUAUAGACGAAAAUAAAAACUAAUUGCACAGUUUGGUCGGAAUUGACGAGACGGAACUAGUUCAUGAUCGGACAAUAUUUAUCAAAUACAGACGAAAAUGCUACAAUAUCAAUUUCUCAAAAAAAAUAUAGAACUAAACAACGCCUUAUUUGAGUCCGUCAGCGUCAGUAUCGAGUGAUCAGCAAAAGGCAGGCAAGCUUUUUAUUCGCCGUCAUGUAUCAGAAACGUAGGAGUGCCGAUAGGAGCAGUGAGGUCACAUAUACUCCAGUAUAAUAAUUAGCUAACCACCCCAUGAGCCCAUGGGCAUGGGCCAUGGUAGAUCCACAAGCAAGCUGCUUCAUUAAAAACUUAAACUAAGACCGGACUCAUUAAUUAGAGAGGUCACUUGUCUUCCCUGAAAAGCGAUCAUUGCCAGCUUUAUAGACCACCUGGUUUAAUUAGCCACUGUCACCAUCCAUCGAUGUGGAGACAGCUGGCUCUCUUUCGAUUCCGGCCGUCCUUUCCUUCGAGCCCGCACGAUCCUGGCCGUCCAUCCAAUCACGCCGCAGCCCGCGCGGCCGGGGCGUGAGCAUCCCCGUCCCCCGCUUGCCGCUUUUGCCAAACAGCGACGCGCGAGCCACGCGGGCCAGACUGCCAGAGCCUCUCGCCUAGCGUAUCUGCCGUGCGGAGAUCCUGCUGUCCCAGCGGGCCCCACGCACAAGAACACCCUAUUCACGCCCCGGGCCCGAUACGUGUCCGGUGCACCAGCCGCCUGACGUCACUGCUGCCCGGCGACGCGUCCGCUCCCACCGCCCUCGUACGACAAGAGGCGCUGACGCGGCAGCGCCCGCGGGCGGCCCAUGUGCGCAAGUUGGGCCACUUGCCGGUGGGGUCACGCCGAGGAAGCAAUGCGCCUUUCGUAUUUGCGGCGGGGAGUGUCGCGGUCGGCGCCUCGGCGGGCCGCGCUCACGUGGCGCGCGAUGCGGCGCGGUCGCGUCCUCGCGAUCGCGAGAGCCGGAGAGCAGCGGCACGCUAGGUCGCUAGCGCCAGCUUAAUACGCUGGGUCUGGUUUUGCCGUUUUGCUUCGUUUUUCCUUGUGCGGCUGCGGGGCGGGCGGGCAGUUUGCUCUGGGCAAACCGGGGGUUCCUGAUGGCGUAUACUUGCGCAGGUUUUUCGGUGGAAAGUGGUGAGCUAGGAAAACGUACGAAAAAAGCGGUGGUAGUACCUGAAAUGUCGUCCCUAUCUGGCAUGAUGUGGCUCUGUUUUUUUUUCUUCUAAUUGACGCAAAUCUUUUAGAGCCUGUUUGUUGGAAUUAGCUUGAUUAUCAACAAUGACUUUGUUAUAGAAUUUGAACUUCGUAUUUUCUUUUCAUGACCGCCACAAAGGGUUUUUUUAAGGAAGAACAUUAGAAGCUUUUUUGCACUGGAAUGAUCUUAGAUUAAAAAAUAAAAUCUAUAACAUACAAGGAAAUUUGUCUCCUCUCACAUGUUGCACGGCUUAAUUUUUCCACCACUACAUCUUCUUCAACAAGUCUUAUUCUUUCUUAAAUCUCUCAUACGAUAUAUCAUUCUGAGUGUGACGUAUGACUCUCUUUUUUUUUCUCUUUCUUCUUCCCUCUCAUCCUCCUAUUUAGGCAGCUCCUCAUGGAUCUAUCGCCUCCCUGCCAUGUUACUCUGUGGGACGCCACGAAUGAUGACCGGGGGAGCUUAUCCCCUUUCCUAUCGCUUGAACCAGCCACCAAGUGAUAGCUCGAGGUUGAGCUCCACGGCUCCUCCAUCUCCUCUAGCCUCUACCCCGAUGGAGGCGUGUCUCCUUUGCCAAUCCUGCAUAGAAAGUCCCUCGAAUCCAUUGCACGUGUAAGUUUAUCCCAGGGAGUCUCAGUAAGCAAAAAGCCCUUGCAAGACGGAAAAGAGAUAAGUGACGCCGCAUGAGCAACCAUUCUCGGCCAAUAAGAGACAAGGGGCCACCUUUAAUCUAUUGUAGUGAGUUUACCCCUCCAUUCCCCUUGCACCCACCCUCACCCUCUCAUCAUUGCCAUUGCUGGCGCCGCCACAGCCAUAGCUUAACAUCAACUCUUCCACAGAUCAUCCACUGUCAGCUUGCCAGCGUUAUCCUAUUAUUCACUCAACUCUCAUCUUAGAUAUCUUGCCAGCAUCAUCCCCAACUCCUUUGGUCCUACCUCUUAACCCAAAAAAUCUAGAAUCAAACAAAUCCCAAAUACUUGAACCCACUAGAAGAGAUUAAUCUCGCUGGAGUUAAAGACGAUGAUAAGAUAUCUCGCCGGAGACAAAUAUAAUGAUAGAAAUUUUCUGUCGAAGAUAUAGAGAAGAUGAUAAAAGAUCUGUCGGAACAAAGGAGGGCGACCCAGAGUAGCUUUUCCAAAUAAAAUAAAAUAAAAAUGCCAUGAUGGUAAUUCGAGGUCCUCGGAUCCCCUACAAUCUACCGAGGGAUCGGCCUGCUGCGCAGCCUGUUGGAGUGUUGGGCAUCCACCGGUCACGGCGCGCGUCCACGACUCGACCGGCUCAGCUCCAACCGAGGCUGGCGAGCCGACCGCAUCCCGCUCGGCUCCCGCCGCGGCUGCGCGGUGCCGCGCAAGCUCGCUCGCACCACGCGUCGGCCGCCGUAUCAACACGCGUCACGCCGGAGGCAAGCCCGCCCGCCCGUCUUCGCCAUCCCCAGCGGAACCGCAUGCCCCAAAAGCGAAACCAACCAGCCCAAAAAGGAGCAGAAAGCUUUGCCUCCUCUCUCUCUCUCUCUCUCUCUCUCUUCUCUCCUGUUCGCCGCUAGAGUCGCCUCGAGGCUGCGGUGAGGAGAAGCGGCAGCGCCUCACCUCUCCAAUGGCGGCCUCCUCCCUCCUCCUUGCAACCUGUGUAAGUCGCCUCUCAUCCCGUGUUCUCUGCUCCGGCCCCUCGCCUCUUGUUUGCCGGGAAUGGUUGCUCCUGCGGCGUCGCUCAGCUCUUGCCCGUCUUGCAGGCGCUUCUCGUUUACUGAGGCUCCCUGAGACAAGCUUGCGCUCACGAUGGAGGGUUUUUCGAGGGACUUGCUGUGUGGGAUUGGGAAGGGAGACGCGCCGCCACCGGAGCAGAGGCCGGGGCAGCUGCGCGAGGAGAUGGAGGCGGUCGAGCUCAGCCUCGGACUGUCGCUCGGCGGCCGGUUCGGGCUAGACAGGAAGGGGGACAAGCUCCCCCGGUCCUCGUCCGUGGCGGCCAUGCUGACGCCGCCGGUGGAGGUGCCGACGCCGCGCGCCCUCCCGCGGACGAGCUCGCUGCCGGUCCUGGCCGAGGCGUCGGAGGUUGCGAAGCAGCAGGGGCUGGCUGGAUGGGGUUCUUGCCGUGAUGGCGGGGGUCUCGGCGUGGAACACGCGGCGAGGCUGCCGGCGAGCGGGAGCCCUUCCUCUGCCUCUUCGGGAGGUGAUGGGCAGAGAUUGCAGGGUGCGUGCGGCUUCUCUUUGUGGGGUUUAUACUAUCUUUAGUAUUUUGCUACCCUUGAUAGUUAAUUUGGCGUUCAGAUUCCGUGCUUAGCAGUGCCGAUUGUGAUCGUUUUGGUAAAUGGUAGUAGUUGUGAAUUAUUUUGCAAAACUGUGUUAACUAAUAUUUUAUUUGCAGAGAACUCUGUUGACUCAGGAAAUUUUUUGCAAAAUUGCUACAGUAGCUCUUUUGUUUGUAUAUAGCAAAUAUUGUCCAACUAUAGACUAACUAGGCUCAAAAGAUUCGUCUCGUAAAUUUCGACCAAACUGUACAAUUAGUUUUUAUUUUUGUCUAUAUUUAAUACUCCGUGCAUGUGUCUAAAGAUUCGAUGUGACGGGGAAUCUUGAAAAGUUUUGGGGUGGAAGUAAACAAGGCCCAAAUAUCUCUGAGAAAAGAAGUGAUGUAACAGUUUGAAGUUUAGUAUUUGAUAUUUCCAUGAAUACUUAAAGAGUGUAUGUACAGAAGCAAUACGCACAGAUGUAUGUCUAAAGUACUUUCAAAACAUUAUAGUUUUGCUAGUUGUUUUUUAAUGAAGUUACUAUAUAGAUUUGUUAAUGGCAAUGUAGACAGAAAAAUACAUGUUUUAACGUAACAACCACAUUUUGAGAAAUCGACAUCUCAAUGUUGCUUGAAAUAAACAUCAACAGCUUUUCACAAAUUCCAAAUAUCUGUAAAUACUUACUGAAUAUUGCAGGCACCCUCAUGAGAACUAGUUCACUCCCUGCUGCCAUUGAGGCUGCUGGCAAUGAUGAAUGGAAGAAACGUAAGGAAGCACAGAGUCUGAAGAGGCUCGAGGUUAAGAAGAAAAGGAUUGAGAGGAGGAACUCUCACACUUGCAACACUUCAAAAGAAGCAGCUGGGCAGAUUCCAGAAGAGAUGAAUGCACACACUGACAAAUUAGUAGCUUCUGAUGAAGCUGUUGUGAUGAAUAACGAAAAUCAUAGCAGUGGCAAGCAUCUGGUGAAGGGGCUUCCUCCAAAGUACCAGGCUACAAUUGCAUCACAAGAUAGUUUGUCAACAGUGGGAAAGAAGCCAAACUCAGCCUUCAAAGGUAUCCCCGUUUGUUUGUUAAGUACACUGUUUAGGUAUUCUCAGUAUCCAUUUCCCAUGCUUCCAAGAACAUGAAUCUUGCCAAUGCACCACAGGUGUAAUGUAUGAAUGGACUGGAUUGAUAUUUGUCCUUAAAUUAAGACUUUGGGCCCAAAGAUCAUUGUCUUUUAGUAUUUGCGUCUACAAUCUUAUAAGAACUUAUAUAUAUCUGAUACAUCGAGAGUUUUUACAUUUGAUAUUAGUGGUUAUUAGCUAAACAAAGGCUAUGUUGUGUUAGAACCUCUGUUGGGUCCUUUCAAUAGUCAUGAGUGUGCGCUCGUGUUUGUGAGCGCUUGCUUCUGUAACUGGGUUUCGCCAAAAAAAAAAAACACCCAAGACAUUUCAUGCCAGAAGUGAAUCUGGAAGAUACAAAAUUCUAUAUUGUUCAGCUCUUAUCGAUGGAGGCUGGUUUCUUAUAUUGUUCAGUUAUUAUAGAUGUGAGCUGGCUGUUUGUGUAUGAUUGAACACUUUCUAUUCUAAUGGUUCUUCCCUUCAAUGAUUUUUUGUUAUCAUUAAGCUCUAUAUUAUACUCAUUUCUGAUUUUUUUAAGAGCAGCCAUCGUUGAGGAGCACAGCCCGUCAUCAUCUAUUCCUUCCUCCGGUGAAGCUAUAAGUAGCGUCACGGCAGCAAGUCCACCAUCUUCGUCUUUGGCUCACAGAACAGCUACCCUUGGUCCCGCGGGAGAUCAAAGCAUUUUAGGCAGGGCUGCUUCAAGGGCGAACAGCAUGGGGGACGUGGAAAGGAAGAUGAUGCAGGAGAUGCCGGGCGUGUUCACCAAGGGGCUGCCCAAUGGCAACAGGGUUGAAGGCUUCCUGUAUAAAUACAGGAAAGGAGAAGAUGUCAGAAUCGUAUGCAUCUGCCAUGGAAGCUUCCUUACUCCUUCGGAGUUUGUGGAACACGCCGGAGCCGGCAAAGUAGACAACCCGCUGCGACACAUUGUCGUCAACCCUACCCCUACCCCAAACCUGUGAACCUUCGCCAGCAGACCUGUGCAGGCGUCGUGUAGAGUCAGCCUUCAGCCUAGCGUCGAGUAGUCUCAUUGUCAGAUUGUGUUUGUGGUGCAGUGCUUACUUAUGCCCGAUUAAAUUGGUGGGCAUUAUGGUAAUAUAACCUGUUGAUAAUGUUCUGAUCCUUCCUAAACGUAGUUCUGCAACUUCGUUUUACUUGGUAGGUGUUCCAGAAAACGAAGCUCACGAUAGUGUGUUAGCGGCCAUGACUUCACGCAGGCACAUAGCUCCCAAUCAGUUUAACUGUCUGAAUAACUUAGCGUGUGUUUGGUUUGGGGCUACUAGGGAUUGGUUGGAUUAAUUUGAGGACUACUAGGGAAGGGUUGGAUCCAAUCCAUAUUUUUGGGAUUUUGUUGGUUGUUCCUAAACUGAGUGAUUUGGCUCUGCUCCUUGGUGAGAUAGAGAUAAAUGAACGGAGGGAGUCGUUCAAAGCGUUGGAUCCUAUCUAGUUCGUUGUGUUUGGCUGAUUUUUGGGAUAGGUCCACAGUGUUGGAUCCGAUCCAGUUCUGUGUUUUGGUUGGGUUUUUUUUUUUUAUAGGAUCAACCCAUCUCGUAUUUGGUUCGUGUUUGGUUCGGUUCAGAGGGUUGCAUCCGAUCCAGUUGUGAGGAUUUGGGCCUUGUUUAUUUCUCAAAAAAAUUUAUAAAAAUUUUUAGAUUUUCCGUCACAUCAAAUCUUACAGCAAAACAUUAAAUAUAAAUAAAAAUAAUAACUAAUUAUACAGUUUGUCUGUAAUUUGCGAGUCGAAUCUUUUAAGCCUAGUUAGCCUAUGAUUAAAUAAUAUUUGUCAAAUACAAAUAAAAUUGCUACAAAAAUUUUGGAACUAAACAAGACCCAAGGUCUGUGUCUGUUUGGUGGUAGAAUUUAUAGAAGUGGAAUGUGACACUGUCUUGUGAGAGAAAAUCAGAGGCCCAGUGGCAGUCUCGCGGAUGUCUUCCCCUACCUUUUGCGUGCUCUUCUUCUCGGCCCGGCCGCGCACGCCGUCCCCGCCUCAGCUCCCCGGCCAUGUGCGCCGCUGCUCGGCCAGGUGCAACUCCGACCAACUCAACCCACUUAUCCUCCAUCCAAACGCACGAUUAGAUAUGUAUUUAAGGUGUAGAGGCUGGAGCAUGUUAAGCUCAUUCCGCUAGCUAAAGAGUACAAAUACACGAUAAGCUGACACAGGCAAUUCACGGAAACAUGUCUGAGAAAAGGCAGAAUAGAUGGCACAAUGAUACGCACACUUUAUCAAUCAUCAUACGAGUUAGAGCAAGGAAGGGUUUCUACAUAUGAUUACUGAUAUACAGAACUAAAACUUAGCCGCAGGAACCUGACAUCAUGAAUUAGUCUUAAUAACCCUCGCUAUUUGCUCAACAAAGCUGCAGAGACAAGGAAUCGGAACUGCAAUUCUGCAAAGGCUUCAUGCUUGAACUGUCAUAGCAUCUGUUGUGCUUACAUCAAGGUGAACCAACAUCUACAUAUCUUACAGAAGUGCUAAAGACCAAUGAGAGCAACACAGAACAGUAAUAAAGUUACUACAGCUCAAAACCCUUGCGAGGGAACCAUAUCAGGGGCCAGUCCUCCUUCACGAACCACCAGAAAGAUUGCAUCUUCUAGCAAGCAGUAAGCUUCGCGAUCUCUUCAAGCAGGUACUUGGAUUCAGCUGCAUAGUCGACCGGUGCUUCACUCCUCACGGUGAUCCUCUGCCUUUUCUCGUUCAUGUAUUCAUGCUGCGUGACGCUGACGCGGAAAAGGUGAGGAACCCAGGUGGCUUCCUUGAGCUUGAGAAUGUAACUGUCAUCGCCCUCCUGCAACAAUGGAGGGCCCACUAUCAGGGAUAAGACAAACAAGGAAACAGCAGAAAUUCAAUGCUGUCAAGCCAGAGUAUUUGCGCAACUCAGAUUUCAGAAUUUACCUCUUUCCUGAUCCGAUCAAGCUCGUCAGCGCUGCAGCCAAUGAUCUUCUCAGCAUGCUCGUUGAACACGGACACCCAUGCCUCACCAGUGGGAUCAGAGAUCUUGAGGACCAUUAUGUAUCUGAAGGAUGCAGGGAAACAAUCAGAUUUAGCACCAAAUAGAUAACAAUAGCAGGCUUCUGCUAACAAAUUUUACCUCAGUGAGCAUUCAGAGUCGUUCUUUUGGCAUCCCUCACACCAGUAUCCAGAUCCAAAAGCUUCAGUCACCUUCUUGUUGCAGGUCUUGCAAGCACGGUACCACAUAUUCUGGUCAGGCUUGAUGUGGCUUAUGAUGGCAUUUAAACUGAAGAAAACAGGCUGCAAAGCAAAGACAAGUCAAACUGGGGCUUCUCCAAAUUUGCAAUUUUACCGUUUAGUGAAUAUUCAGGAUCAUACCUUUUCCUGGCCCAUAGCAGGAUCACUGGUGAUGUGAGACAGAAAAACUCUAUCAGAAUACAUGGACUUCAGGCCACCAGCCCGUGCAGCACCCAUUUCUGCACCAAUUGGUGCUAGUGAAGUAUCUUUGCCUUCAGAGUCAUACCUAUUUGAUAAAUUAUGUACAAGUCUAAGCAUACUAUACUAAUUAAAAACAUACAGCAAGCUCAAAUCAUUCAGGAGAGAAGUACUACCAUGAUUUAACAUUCUGAGCCUCAGGCAGGUCUGGAUUAAUAGCAAGAGUGCUUCUGCCUAUAGUUGAAAGUGACACGCCUGCAAAACAAAUUUCAGCACCACAUUAUCACAACACACUCAGUAACUUACUGAUUUCUAGGAAGAAGAUCAAACAGAGAUUAGAUGACAUACCUUGGAAAUCAGAUACUUUUAGGCUCUUUAUCGCAACAACAGGAGAACUGUCAACCAUGUCCAAAAGCUCUUGGCCAGUAGUAGUAGCAAGAUCAUUCCAGAGAGAAAUACUAACAGUUUUGCCACUGCCAAAAAAAUGAAAUGAGUCAAUUAGGAACAGAUAAUUUCUUUAUUAGAAACAAUAUCUAUAAAAAUAAUCUUAAAGAGAGAGUAUUAUAAAUUAUGAAAUUAUUAUUAUUAUUAUCGUCAUUAAUAUAGUAGUGCCAAUAUUGUUUCGUUAAGUUAAAUUUAUAUCACAAAAAUAUAAAGUCUUGAGACAAUUUUAUGGACUUAUAUCUGUGAUUAGAGAAACUAUAAGCAACAUCACUGAAUGAUUGUAUUCUGGCCUAUUAACAAGUCUGUUAAAUUUAGGUCACAAAAAUAUAAAGAUAGAUAUGGCAAAACUUAAGAGAAUUAAUUUGAGACAAUUUUUAUGGACUUAUAUCUGUGAUUAGAGAAAUUAUAAGCAACAUCACUGAAUGAUUGUAUUCUGACCUAUUAACAAGGUAAAAGAUCAAGCGAUACUUACGAGUCAUCUGCUACAACAAUGUCACGCUUUGGUAUUGUCUCAUUGUCAAUCUUUCUCCUAACGCUGAGUGUGGGAGAUACACUCUGAACCACACCGAUAAUAUCUGAAGUAAUACAUAAAACAGUGAGACACUACAUCAAGCCAGAAGAAGCAAAACCAACUUAACUCCAAUAAUUCUGACGUACCAACAAGUUCCCUGCCACCAACAUAUGUUCCUAGAUGAUCAAUCUUGACAAAGUUGUAUUGCACUUGCGGAAUGAAAGUUUCCCCCUCUGCUUCUUCAACAAUAGCAUUCUCGUUUAGUGACAUCUCAUAGUCAUUUUGAACAGUCUUGAACUGCUUGUUGGCAAUUCUAAGAGAUCCUUUUGAGACAUAAUAGACCUUUCCCAGCUCAAAAAUUGGAUAGAACUUCUUUGCAGCCUCAUUGAACAUGGUGGCCUGGAUCUGGGUGCCCUGUGCAUACACAGAUUCAGAAAAUAUCAGCUCACGAACCAACAACAACUCACAAAAACGCACUUAAACAUGAGAAAAAUGCCAUCAGAGCACUUACAUCCUCAUCAGUGAGCUCUACAUUGAAGACACAGCCUUCUCCACGAGCAUUCCUGUAGGUUCUCAGGUUGCCUUUGCUCGUGACCCGCACCUUAAUGACCCAGUUACCCUGGUAGGGGUUCAGAGUGAUCAAAGGAUGGACCCUCCUUGUCAUGGAAAGGCGCGCAGCAGGAGCAGCACUGCACGCACAGAAGUAUAAUAAUGAGCUGUAAAUCUAAUAAAUCCUCAGAUUCAGCCAGAUAUCAAAGGACAGAGACAGCAAUUGCAAGCACUUACUUUCCACGCUGCUCGUUCACGAUCUGGGACGCGGACUUCAACUCCUGCUUGGGCUUAAUCGCGACUGGGGGAGCAUUUGCCUGCUCAGCCACGACCACGCCUUCGUCCUUAGGCUUCAGCACAAUUGGAGGCUCCUCUUUCUUGGCCUCGCCGUUGAUCUCGGCGUCGAGCGCUUGGCACACAAGCUCGCAUUUGAUGACAAUCAAGACUCUGGUAAACAAAGCACAGUGAUUCAGGAAACCGAGGGAAACGCUGAACACGAGAAUAGUUGCCAACAUUAGCCCGCUCAUGGUGACGAAAGAAGGAUGGAGAACACUUACUUGCCAUUGUUGCCGUUGACGGCGUUGCAAGUGUAGUCGAGGAUGCGGAUGAGGCCGAGGUUCUUCAGAUUGCCGGAGCGGACCUCCGACGCGAAGCUGGUGGGGAACAUCGCCUUGAUCUUAUCCUUCCCGUCGGUUGCCAUGAAACUGCAAGGCAACAACAGAUCCAGACCGAAGGGGAGGCUCGUCAGACCAUCCGACAAGAUCCAUAAGAACUGCGCUAAGAACAGAACAAAUCCGCCGCCCAAGGAACGAAAACUAGCAAAGAUACUAGAUCCAGCGCGGCCAGGGAAGGGAGGAGGUGAGAACUGACCUGAACCGGCUGCCCGUGCCGAUGGACUUGAGGUCGAGGACCUGGACGACGAGAUCCGGCACGGCGCCGUCGGAGCCCGUCGACGGGUGCGCCAGGAUGUGCGACACGGCGCCCGGCGUUACCGAGUUGGCAGCGUCCAUGGCUCCUCUUGCCUCUUUCCUCUCCCUGUCGAAUCGUCUCCCGGAGGAAGGUAGGUUUCGUGUGGGGGAGCCUUGUGCGGCGGCGAAGAUGCGUCGAGCUGCCUAGGCUGCGCGCGCUUAUAAGGCAGAUUUGGGAAGGAAAUGGCGGGAGGCGAGCGGCGCUCGGGGGUUUUGCGCGUUUUUUAGCAUUUGCCGCCGCGGGGUUCGCUGCUAGUUUCGUUUUGGCUCCGGUUUGGCGCUCGCGCGGGAGAAUUUUGAGAAGUUUUGGCGCCGGGGAAGGAGGCGGGGGCGGGCGCCGCCGCGCGGGUGAGUGGGCGGUGGGCCGGCUGGGCUGCACAGGCCUGUUUGACAUAGGCCUUGUUCGUUUGGAGAAUUUUUUUGGUUUUGGAUACUGUAGCAUUUUAUUUGUAUUUAGUAAUUAUUAUCUAAUUAUAGACUAACUAGACUUAAAAGAUUUGUCUCGUAAAUUACAGACUAAUUAUGUAAUUAGUUAUUUUUAAUAUAUAUUUAGUGCUUCAUGCAUGUGCUGCAAGAUUCGAUGUGACGAGAAUCUGGAAAUUUUUUGGGAACUAAAUAAGGCCACAAUGGUGUUGUGUUAAAAAAUGGGAGAAUUAGGUGUAUGGCCCUCGAAAAAACUUGUCUUAGGUAUAUGUUUCUCUUUUUUUGAAUUUGACUCUAUGACCUUAAACAAAAUUUAUUUGGUUCUAUGACCUUCUGUCAGUUUUGGGUAGCUGACCGUGUUAAGUCUAGGGUAAAAAAACUAUUUUACCCCUAGCAAAAAAUAAAAAUAUAAAUUCUCACAUAAUCACAUGUAUAUUUCCACUACAUAACCACAUAUAUAUUCAUAUAAAACACAAAAAAAAAUUGUUAGGGGUAAAAUGGUCUUAACAUUGUUAGCUGCUCAAAACUGACAGAAGGCCAUAGAGCCAAAUAAAUUUUGUUUUGAGGCUACAUGGCCAAAUUAAAAAAAAGAGUCAUAUACCUAAGACAAGUUUUUUUUUUCAGGGCCGUACACCUAAUUCUCCCUAAAAAUAUAUGGGGUGACUGUUCUUACCCUUGUCUAGUAACCCAACUAUUAUAUGGGGAGUCAUUAUAUUCCAUUCAUCCUGGUAGCACUAAGAUGUAUCUAGAUCUGAAAUAGAAGUACUGGUGGUAUGGUUUAAAGAGAGACGUAGCUGAGUAUGUUGCUUUGUGUGAUACUUGUCAGCGAAUGAAAGCUGAACAUCAGAGGCCAGCUGGACUGUUGCAACCAAUAAAGAUUCCGGAAUGGAAGUGGGAAGAAGUGGGUAUGGAUUUUAUAGUGGGUUUACCACGAACACAGAGAGGGUAUGACUCAAUAUGGGUGAUAGUAGAUCGUUUGACUAAAGUGGCUCACUUCAUACCUGUUAAAACUAAGUACACUGGAGAACGCCUAGCUGAGCUGUAUAUGGAGAGAAUUGUUUGUUUGCAUGGAGUACCUAAGAAGAUUGUGUCGGAUAGGGGUACUCAAUUCACAUCUCACUUUUGGAAAGCAGUGCAUGAUUCAUUGGGAACCAAGUUGAAUUUCAGUACAGCGUAUCAUCCACAGACAGAUGGACAGACUGAGAGGAUCAAUCAGAUACUGGAGGAUAUGUUGAGAGCUUGUGCUUUGCAGUAUGGGACUAGUUGGGACAAGAGUUUGCCAUAUGCAGAAUUCUCCUACAACAACAGCUAUCAACAGAGUCUUAAGAUGGCACCGUUCGAGGCACUGUAUGGUCGGAAGUGCAGGACACCUUUGUUUUGGAAUCAGACAGGAGAAACUCAGGUGUUUGGGACAGAUGUGCUUAGACAUGCAGAACAACAAGUGCGGACUAUUCGGGAUAACUUGAGAGUUGCUCAAUCUCGUCAGAAAAGCUAUGCAGAUACGCGUAGGAGAGAGCUGGCUUUUGAAGUAGGUGAUUAUGUCUACCUGAAAGUGUCACCUAUGCGGAGUGUGAAGAGGUUUAAUAUGAAGGGAAAGCUAGCUCCAAGGUAUGUUGAUCCGUUUAAAGUAUUAGAAAGGCGUGGAGAAGUAGCAUAUCGGUUAGAAUUGCCUGAAAGUUUGUCUGGUGUGCACGAUGUGUUCCAUGUGUCACAACUUAAGAAGUGUUUGCGUGUACGUGAGGAGCAACUACCAUUGGAAGAACUUUCUGUUAAAGGUGAUCUCACUUAUGAAGAGUAUCCGGUCAAAAUAUUGGAGACAGCUGAGAGAGUCACCAGAAGUCGGGUCAUCAGAAUGUGCAAAGUACAGUGGAAUCGGCAUUCGGAAGCAGAGGCAACUUGGGAAAGAGAGGAUGAUCUGAGGAAAUCAUACUCAUAUCUGUUCGAGUAAGCACCGUUCAAUCUCGAGGACGAGAUUCUUUUAAGGGGGGUAGAGUUUGUAACACCCAAAAUUUUGGUUUCAAUUAAUAGGAAUUUAAUUGAUUUAUUUAAGUAUUUUUGGUGAACAUUUAAUUUAGUGAAUAAAUAAUUUUGAGGAAAAUAAAAUUUAUCAAAGGUUUAGUAACCUUGAUGGUGCAUUCAUGCUGGAGCAUAUUUUAUGUGUUGCUUGAUUGUUCUUGGGUAGAAAUAAUAUGUGCACAAAAUUCUGUUUAGAAAAUGUUUUGAAAAAAAAGGGAGAAGAAACAAACAGAAAAGAGAAAAAAGAACAAAACCCCGGCCAGCCCUCCCCUCGGCCUGGUGGCCUGCUGGCCGAGGCCCACUCCCUCCCCGGCCUGCUCCCUUUCCCCCUACAGCCCAGCUUUCCCCCUCCAGAUGGCAACGGGGACCCGAUCCCCGAUUCCCCGUGGGGAAUUCCCCUAUUAGGGGACGGGGAUGGGGAGAUUUUAUUCCCCAUGGGGAAGAAAACGGGGGGAAAUCAAUCCCCAUCGGGUCUAGCGGGGACGGGGAUGGUUCACCAUCCCCCGUACCCGAUCCCCGCAUCCCCGACACGUUAAGGAGCAUACUCUGUAUGUGAGCCAUAACAAGUUGGAAUUUAGCCCAAAAUCGGCCCAAGCCCAUCAAACACAUGGAGUAUAUAAGCAAUUUCCUAACCCUAGUUCCCAGUAUCCCCACUCGGCCACCCCUCCCACAGCCGCCACAUUCAUACAUUCAUCCUUCAGUUUUGGAUUGUUGAUUUUUUUGUGAUCUCAUUGCGGGGACGGGGAUACCCGUCGGGUAUGUAUUCCCCGCGGGGACGGGGAUGGGAAGAAAAUGUUCCCCGCGAGUCUUCACGGGGACGGGGACGGGGAAAUCUGGACCUCGCGGGGACGGGGAUGGGGAGGCAAAACCCGACGGGGAAUUCCCCGUUGCCGUCUCUAUUCCCCCCCCCCACUCGCUCGGCCCACUCCCAAUUUCCCCACUCCGGCCCAGCAGACCCGCGCAGCGCGCCCCCGUCUCCCCUAUCUCUCUGAGACCGACAGCCGGGUCCCGCCCUUCUUCCUAUGACGCGUGGGGCCCGCUGGACAGCGCCGCCUUCCCCUUCCGCCAGCCGGUUUCGAACCGAACUCGUCUGGGACGCGCCCAAUCCCGCGAUGCUCGGGAUUUUCUUGCCAAACGCGUUAGCCGAAGCCCUACAAAGCCCCCAGCAACGCCCCGCGGCAUCUGAUUGCUAUCUGCCGUGCCUAGGAAGCCCUAGCCUCCUGCAUCUACGUCGUUGAGAUCUCGCCGAGCCGAGCAUCUUCCCUCACCGCGACACGAGCGCCCUGGUUGUCCUCGGCCCGAGAAAUUCCCCUUGGUGAGCCCGCGGUGAGCUUCUCGACCCUCUGGCGUUUUCCUUUUGAAGAAUGGUGCACCGAGUCGUGUUUUUGACGAACUUCGGCGAACUUCCCUAUGGCGCCGCCGCGGGGGAAGCCCCUGUUCCGGCCAGCUCGCCGUCGGCAUCCGCCUGGCCUCCCAUGCGCGAUCUGAGCCGCCCGAUCGUCAUCCAACGGCCUCUAACAGAACUUACCCUUUCGACCGCCAUUUUGCUAAACAGCCCCCGCGCUUUGGGAGUUUUGAACCCGCGGUCCAAGGCGCAUAAGCGGGAUUACGUUUUCUCAGUACUAAAAGCGUAUUCUCUUCAGCCUGAGUUAAAAUAUGUUUUUGAUUAUUCACAGGUUUGCCACUAGAUUUACUUUAUUCAUAAAAUACUCAUUUAAACUCCGAUUUAAUCCAUUCAAAUUUUGUUAGAUUCGUCUUCACGAGCUCUACAUGUUAGAAGAAUUAGUUUACUAUUUUGAAACUUUUUAAUUUCCUGGUACUAUUUAAUUAAUUAUUUCUCUAUAGGAAAUCUUAGAAAAUUCAUAUCUUUCGCGUUUUAAUUCCGAUUUUCGUGAACUUUACGUUUGUGUGAUCGUAGCGCUGCGUAGAAUAUUUUCAUAAGCUUUUAUCUUUAUUUACCACUGUUUGGUGUAAUGUUCUAAUUAUAUCUUGUUUGCUAUGUGUAUGAUUGCCUCCAUUGGAUUGUGUGUUGUUGAUUGAUGUUUGGGAAUAGACGGUGAGCCGUAUGUUGGUGAUCAAGACCAAGCUUUUGAAGACCAGCAGGCUCAGGAGAGCUUUGACCAAGGCAAGUAUAACUUGGGAUCAUCCUUGUUACCUAUUCUCUUAUAACUACACAUAUAUAUAUCAUAUGCAUGCUAUCACCUUGUCGACCUUAGCAAAAUCAUAGAUGAUUGUUACCUGUAUACCUUGCUACCUACUUGAUAUGCAUUUGGUGUAGAUGUGCUAGUGCUUGAUAUAAUCUAUGAUCUUGUAAGAUGAUUAAUAGCUAUGCAAUGAACAUAAAAGAAUGACAAAUAACUGUAUGAGAUCUUGUCUGUACGUGAUCACCCGGGAUAACAGUGCAACCAUGAGGGCUAUAAUGGCUCUGGCUUUAGCUCAGUAUAAAGACCUUUUCUAGCUUGUUAGAGGUUACCCGAAAGGGCGGAGGGGCUAAACCGACACGGGUAUAGUGCGAGCCCCUGUCCCUAUGUGUAUAGGUUGCGCGUCAUUGUGCCAUUCGGAAGGGGGGUAUCUAUAUCUGCUCGCAAAGGAAACUUUACGGCCCUAACAUGUUAGACGAAUUUUUGAAAGGCUUCAUAGUGAUCCCUGCCGACCUCCCUAGGAAGGGGGUUAAGAGGUUAGCUACCUCGGGCGAAAGGGUAAAUUAUGACUCAUGGGUAAAGAUGUACAACCUCUGCAGAGUGUAAAACUGGUAUACUAGCCGAGCUCACGGUCAGGAGCGGCCUUGAGGACAUCUACAUUAAGAUGAUGAGCUUAUUAAGUUGUUAUGUCUAUUUGAAUAUCGUUUAUGCUAAGAAUUAAUUAUGCUUACACUUGAUCAUGUGGUUAAUGGAUUAUUUAUGCUACCUUGACAUUUGCUAUUUAAUUAUGAAUAUGCUAUCCACUAUUAAAAGCUAAAUGCAGUUAAACCAGUGUCAACUAUUUGAGCCUCAUGAACCCCUGGUUAUACUUGUUGAGUACGAUAUGUGCUCACCCUUGCAAUUUCCCAACACCCCAGGUUAUGAUAAUGAAGAUGACUGGAAUGAGGAUUACCGUUAUGAGUACUAGGUUUGGAGUCAACCAGUCAACAGUGUCCCUGUGUGGAGCUUCCGUCGAGAGCGUAGUUUACUUUAUGCUAUCAUUUUUGUAUGAGACUAUGUGAUAUAUUUUAUAUUCCGCUAUGUAAUAAACACUACAAUGGUACAUUUGAGAUUUGUCUACUUAUGUGUGUGACUGUUUCUGGGGCACAUAUGAGUCUUUUAUGCAUCCUAUUUUGUUCUUAAAAUAUGGGUGUGACAGUUGGAUAAGCUAACCACAUACUCCUUGUUGUGGUUUAUAGGCCAAAUCACAAGGGUAUACCACUUGUCAUUAGAAUUCGAUCUUUUUCAGCUUGUGAGAUAGUGCUCCAAAGUCAUGGUGGUAAAACUUUGUCAACUAAAUUUCUUGAUGACAUACAUAGCUUUGUGUUGCUGUAGUUGAUUGACUUCAUGGCUAAGCAUUGCAUGUGGUGGUUUGAGCAAUACAUAACCUUAUGACAUAAUUUAGAAAAUGAUUCAUUUGUGAUGAAAAUUGAUGAACAUCUUUUAGAGUGGUUUGGACUUAAUGUAGACAAGGGGUACCUUGCAUCAAUGCCUAGAUGAAUGAUUUUGAAGAGUCAUUGCAGUUUUCACUAACCAAACAUAGGUGCCAUCCUAGUAUGAGGAGUAGAGUACACCUAAUUGAGGGGAGCACAAAUGAGGGAGCCACCACAAAUGAGAGAGCAACAAAUGAUGAUGAGGGGGUAGAAGAUGAUGAUGAGAGGGUAGGAGAUGAUGAUAAGGGUAUAUUUUAUGACAGCAGUUAUGACACUAAUUUACCUGCAUCUUCCGAUUCUAAUGAUGAUUGCUCUACCUUAGAGUUUGAUCCUGAUGGUGAAAUACCUAAUGAUGUUGAUGAGUAUGAUGCUCCCAUGUUUUCGUUGAUCCUAGUGAUCCAUGCAUUGAUGUAAAUGUGGUGUUUCCAUAUGUGGAUCAAUGCAAGUCUACAGUUACACAUCAUGCUAUCUUGCAAGACCAUGCUUUUAAGAUUGUAAAAAGAGAUUAAGAAAGAUUUAGAGCCAUAUGCAAGAGAGCUGAUAAGGGUUGUAAGUGGACUUUUUUCGCAUCUAUAAGCAAGAAGUACAUUGGAUGCAAGGUAAUUUGGUCCUAUUUCCAUAAUGUAGUGUAUUAACUUGAGAUGUAAUUUGCUAACAGGAUCCUAAUAUAGUGUAAUUGUUUUGUUGUAGGUGAAGACAAGUGGACCAAAGCACACUUGUGGUUCUUUCAACAAGUGUGGUUAGUCUAUGGCCUCAAAUAAAUGGGGUUGUGAUAGAGUUGUGGACUUACUACAGGAUGACCCUGGAAUGGGUCCAAAGAAAUUGCAAGAUGAGUUAAAAAAGUACUCAGUGGAUGUUCCAUAUGAUACAGUUUAUAGAGGAAAGAUGAGAGCACUUGAUAUCAUGUAUAUGAAACUUUGGACAUUCUACUGAAUGAGGUAUCUUCAGAGAGGGACCACAACCUUUUCAUCAUCGAGAUGUACUCUCUAUGGAUGCAAAGAAACAAUUAUCGCCAUAAGAAGAACCAAUUUUCGGUGUGUCUUGACGGUAGAUAACUCCUAAUUUUAACCAUCAACUAGACAUGAAAAUGGAUCUAUAUGCAAACCCCUAGUAGAUAUAGGGUUAGCACUAACAUUCCAUAAGUUUUGGUGAAUGUCUAUUUCUGCAGGGUGUCAGCUAAAAAUAACCAAAGAUGGUCCACAUGUUAGGUUUACAAAGAGAGAAUACCGUGAACUUCAACUCAGGAGUAAUCUAGAAGGUUCGAGGAGCCUCUAGACCAAACCAGAGCAAAAAACCGGCUCAGGAGCCGGGUGGGCGCCCGAGGGGUAGGGGCGGGCGCCCGUCCACCUCAACCAAUCAUACUCGACCUCGCGGAUCCUGCCUCCAUCGCUUUUGAGGAGUAAUCUUGAGUAUACAUUUAGGUUGGUUUGAUCUGAGGGUUGUGGUGCCUCCUAGGGGGCUAUAAAUAUGACCCUAACCCCUGAGGGUAGCUAAUUCUGAAACCCUAAUUCAUAUUUUCUAGAGAAUUAGCCAAAGAGGGGUGCUUCGAAUGGAUCUGACUCUUUAGGGUUUUAACAGCAAGAGAGGUUGAGAGAGUAUAGGGUCGAGAUAGAAGUGGAGGAAGCCUGGCCUGUCGGUGUCUUCUUUCUUGUAUUUACAGGAUCAAGUCUCCUCACUCGAGGCUUGGUUCUAGAAUCAUUCGACAAUUUGAUUUCUAAUACUAGUAAGUUUUGUUCUUAUUAUUCUUUGAUUUACGGGUUUAAUUUAUUCACUUGCGCUUGGGAAUAGAGUAAGCGUUCAUAGCAUAAGCGUGGUGCUUAGGCUAGGAACACUCGUAGAUACUCCCUAUCUGCCCGGAUUUGUGGUAGCAUCGGGGGGAGUGACAAUCCCCUUGGUGUCUCUAUAAUCCACGUCCCGUCGGGAGGUAAGGUAGGAUUUAUGGUGUCGAGGUUAAGCACUCUCUGAGGUGUCUCUUUUCUCUAGGUACUCCCCUUAGAACAAUAUUUACACAGCUUACCAUUGGUUAGAACAAGACUGACGAAAGAGUUCUCUCUAUAUCGCUCAUAUCUCACUAUCUUGUCUUGCAAGCCCAGGGGUUAAGUAUAGAUUUGGGUUAGUCAGAUACACGCUUUCUCCUAAUGGUAAAAAUAUAAAUAACGAUACUCUAGAAUAUCUUCCGGGUGAAGUGAUCAUCAAUAUUCGUGCGCUUACGGAUUAUUUCUUUGUGUGCGUAUCUAAUAUCAACAGUGUGUCAUGCAGUACGAUGGUCGGUUGAUCUAGCACAUGAUCUAUGGCAGAUUACCCAGUUCAAGAAGCAGUUGCGCCUGGUUAGGCACUCGCCUUGGCAACCACCUCUAGAGGGAUGGGCUAAGUGCAACACUGAUGGGACCUUUUACAUGGGGACAAAUAACGAAGCAAUGGGGCUUUGUGUUGCGGAACUCUUCAGGCUCAUUUGAUGCGGAAUGGCAUGCUGGUACUCCCAUGAUUUAGAUGCCCUAGUUCUAGAAACUUUGGCAUGCAAGUGAGCCUGUUCGCUUGUUUGAAAAGUCAUGACUGAAAGUACUAUUUGCUGAUUUGUUGUGAGAUAAAAAUAUAGCUGAAUGACUGAUAAAUUCUGCGUAUAAGCUUAAGCGAAUAAAUGGUGUAAAAGUUAGCAAGAGAGGAAGGGGUGUUGAAGCUGCAGUUGGAAACAGAUAACCAGGAGCUUGUCAGACUAUGGGCUUCAAGGCAAUUUCACAUAUCCUACCUGGCGCCAAUUCUACGAGAGAUAUGUGAUAUUAGUGUAGACUUUCAUGUUUUUUUCAUUGAUAUAUGCUAAUAGAUCAUGUUCGUUUGUCUUAAAAGUCGUAGUUGAAAGUACUAUUUGCUAAUUUAUUGUGAAAAAAAACAUUAUUAACUGGUAGAAAAAAUACGAUUUAUAAGACGAGCGAACUGUUUAGCCGAAUAUAAGCCGUCAGAUUCCUCCCACUUAUGAUGUGAAGCUCCAAGGGCAAAGUCUUCACCAAUCAUAUAUAUAUAUAUAUAUAUAUGACGCGUUUAUUUUACACGCGCGUGUAGUUACUCUUAUCUAUAUAUCUCUAGAUUUAUGAUGAAUAUGACCGAACAAAAUGUAUAUAGACAAAGUAUAUGAUCAUACUAGACCAUCUAGAGUGAUAUGUAUGUUAAGUAUGCAUACAUACAUAGAGUAUAUGGUUAUACUUAUUAUAUAUAAUAUAGUAGUGGCAUUUUAGUAAUAUAUUUAAAAUAUAAUUUUUUUAAAAAAAAUUCGCAUGGUAAGAUCUAGAGUAUCUUAAUAUGAGUAUAUAAACAUACUCAAACCGAUAAACAAGUAUGAAUACAUACACAAUGUAGUUUAUUGAAGAUGAGAGUAACUACGCGUACGUGUAGAAAGGAAUUUCCAUAUAUAUAUAUAUAUAUAUAUAUAUAUAUAUAUAUAUAUAUAUAUAUAUAUAUAUACGAGUAAAACUAACAAUAAAAAAAAAUUUAUAUAAAAAAGAGACUACUAUUAUAUAACUUAGCUCUUGCAAUUGCCACCCGCAGCCAGACUACUAUUAUAAAUAAAGAAGAGAUUAUUAUUAUUGACCUUGCUCUCGGAAGUUAGAGUUGCUAUGAUGAUGAUUGAAGACUUUGUCCUUAGAGCUUCACAUCAGGAAUCUGACAGCUUAUAUUCGGUUGAACAAGACAUAUAGUACUGUUUACGUGGCCCUUUUUUAGUUCACCUUAAAAUCCUAAAUUUUUUUAAAAUUUCUUAUCACAUAAAUUUUUUGGACACACAUAUAUAGAGCAUUAAAAUAGAUUAAAAAUAACUAAUUACACAGUAACUGUAAUUUGUGAGACGAAUCUUUUAAACCUAAUUAGUUUAUAAUUAGAUAAUAAUUAUCAAAUACAAACGAAAGUGCUACAGUAGCCAAACCUAAAUUUUUUUACCAACUAACCAAGGAGAACCGCUAGGGUCCAAGGCUUUAAUUUCUCUUGCCGUACCAAAAUAACGAUAGCUAUGAUAUUUAUGUCCGUCAAAUUUUCAAGUUUGAUAAGAUUUCUAAAAGAUAGUAUCAAUAUAUGUAUUUCUAAAUAAUCUUUUUUUUAAAAAAUAGUUUGAAUAAUUUAUCUAUAUACUAAUUAUGUAAUAUAGUAUUAAUAUUUUUUAUAUAUUAGUUAAAGUUAAUAACGUUUGACUAUUCCAGAAGCGAUGAUAACACUUAUUUUGGAACAAAGAAGCAAACAUUUUUUUAUUAAAAGCAUCAAGAACUUACAACAACUAAGAGCAUCUUCAAGAGCUUGGCUAAAAUUAGUAGCCAAAUUUUAAUGUUUAGUCAUUUUGUAAAAUAUAUAAGUUUUUAAAAAAGAAGAGGUUCACAACAGCCUUGCUAUCAUAUAGCUAGUGCCAGUGGUUGGCUAUAUAUGGCCAACGAAAAUCAAGGGAUAGCAAAAUUUUUAUUUUAUAAAACCAAAUAACACAUCUGCUGGGGUCUAUUUUUUACUACAAAAGUUCUAAAAGGCCUUCAUAAUAAGAAUAGCAAUAUAUAUAUAUAUAUAUAUAUAGGUGUAGAAUACUAUUCUACACUGAAGUGUUAUACUGAACAGAAUCCAGUAUCGUUCAGUAUUCGUGUUUCAGUAUUGUUCAGUAUUUUGUGGUCCUGAGUGUACUACUAGAUAAUACUGAACAUUGUUCAGUACUACUCAGUAUUUUUUCAGCUCAGUUUUGAUUUGCGGUGUAGAAUAGUAUUCUACACCUAGGGUGUAGAAUAGCGCUACCGUGUGUGUAUAUAUAUAUAAUUAUUCUAUACCACAAGUUAAAACUGAGUACAAAAAAUACUAAGCAAUAUUGAACAACGUUCAAUACCAUCCGGUACUACACCUAGGACUAUAAAUAUUGAACAAAAUACUGAAACGCGAAUACUUAACGUGCAGGAUAGUAUUCUAGAUGUCGAAUAGCAUAGGUGUAGAAUACUAGUAUUCUACACCGAGCUGUUAUACUGAGUAAAUUUCAGUAUCGUUCAGCAUUCAGUGUUUCAGUAUUAUUCAGUAUUUCGUGGUCCUGAGUAUUGGACAAGAUGAUACUGAACACUCUCUAGUAUCACUCAGUAUUUUUUCUACUCAGUUUUGACUUGCGGUGUAGAAUAACGCUACCGUAUAUAUAUAGGUGUAGAAUAGCGCUACCUAGGUGUAGAAUACUAUUCUACACCGAACAAUUGUAAAAUAAAUUUAUGUCAAGCUUGGUGCUCUCCUUCACAUCAGUACUUGCUUGGCUAGAAGACAAUUAUUAUACAUGCUCUAAGCAGUAGUUACAAAGUAUGUAGUUAUUUAAAAGGUAUAGAGCUAACAUGCUUUCCCUAAAGAAACGGUAAUAAAGAAGACUGGUUGCAGGUGGCAAUGCAACUCUAACUUCUAAGACCGACUCCAACAGCUACAAGGCAAAACGGUGACCCAUUUCAAGGUUUAGGUGCUGCAUAGUAAAUGACUUACAGACCCAAAAACGAUGUUUUCCAACAACCGGAAGGCAAAGGGAGCCCCAUCCACUCGUCUCCCUCCCCGCUCCGCUCCUCUCCCUCCCCGCACUCUCUGCAUGCAGUGCCCACCUCCCUCCUCGCCGAUGAGCUUGCUAGAGAAAAGGGAGCAACCAUGACCGAGCUCGCCGAGGAAGAAGGCAUGGGCCAGAUUUGGUCUAAGCGCAUGAGCAAGUGCACGGGGAAGUUUCGCCGCGACCGCAUGGAGGAGCUCUGGCCUGCCGCCGCGCGGGCGAGCGCGUGGGCAAGCUUGGGGCGGUGGGCGCAGGUGAGCGCGUGGGGGAGCUUGGCCGCGACUGCACGGAGGAGCUUCGGUCCGCCGCCGCCGCGCAGGUGAGCGCACGGGGGAGCGCCGGCACCGCGAGUCCGCGUGCGCGCGGCCGUGUGGGGGAGCUUUGAGCGGCCAGCGCAGGCGAGCGCGUGGGGGAGCCGGCACCGCGAGCGUGCAGUCAACCUCCGGCCCGCCGCCAAGCAGGCGAGCACGCGGCCAACCUCCGGCCUGCCGUCAUCCUUUGGACCCACCAUUAUCGGCGCAACAGGAUUGCAUCACGGGGAAGAGAAGACACAUAUUUGCGUUUUGGCUCAGCUGGUACCCAAAAUGGGUGUUCCAUUUGCAUAUGCUGUUGGAGACUAUUUUUGGUACCCAAAACACUGUGCACUACCUAAAAUGCGUUUGGGUCACGCUUUGGCUGCUCUGUUGGAGACAGCCUAAGCAGUAGUUGCGAAGUAUUUAGUUAUUUGAAAGGUACAGAGCUUGCCAUUUGCAUUGACCACUAAUACAUGGCUUGAUAAUGACUUGGCGUUAGUUGUUGUAAGUCCUUAUUUUUUUAAUACAAAACAUUUACUUUCAUCUACGUGUGUAACUGAGUCUCGCAAAACUAAGUAUCAUUCUCGCUACCCAAGUAGUCAAACAUUUUUAACUUUGAUCAUAAGAAAAUAUUAAUAUUAUGGUACAUAGUUAGUAUCAUUAGAUAUAUAUCAUUGAAUCUAUUUUUUCUAUAAUAAAUUUAUUUGGAUAUACAAAUUUUGUUAAUAUUUUUUAUAAACAUAGUUAAACUUAAGAAAAUUUGAUUGACAUGAAUACUAUAACGACCUUUAAUACUUCUAUGUUGGGAUUGGUUACGGGUUACAACUUUUUUUUGGAACUUAUCAGAAUGUGUUCCUAUUUAUUGGUAGGCUUUUUGUUCACGCAACCGAUUGCACCGAGUGCUUGUCAAAAAGCUUUUGUAAACUACUCAUGUAGGGGAUUUUGGUAUGUUAUUAGGAAUUUUAGAUUGAGAAGUAGAUAGUAUAAGGACACUUCCAAUGUAGAAACCACCUUUUCAUAACAUUAAUUGUACUGUCACCUAAAUGUUUUGCUCAUGUAGCAGCUAGUUAUUAAAGAAAGAAAGCAGAAAUCAUAGAAACUGAAUCUAAGUUAGAAAACAAUGUCUACAUGAGAACCAAGACAUGAAGUGAUGUGAUUGGUAGAGAAUAGAGAGAGAAUGUAUGUGAUUGGAUAAAAAAUUAUUAUGUAGAAACUAUUUAUUGGGACUAUAUGAUUUCUAUAUGUAAUGUCUAUAGAAAUUAAUAAGUACAGAAACUACACGUAGUUUCUAGCAUUGAGAUUGCCCUAAGAGAGCUUUAGACCUUAGUGGUUCUCCUGCAAAUAGACAUUACUAAGUCCUUGUUGUUUAUCUGAAUAUAAGCUACCAGAUUCGUGCCACUAUGUAAAGCUCCAAGGGCAAAGUCUUCAAGCACCAUGGUAGUUAGCAAUGAGGUGUUUGGUUUGAGAUGUUAAAAUUUAGCAAGUACUGUAGCUUUUUAUUUUAUUUGAUAAUUAGUAUCUAAUCAAGGAUUUAUUAGGCUUAAAAGAUUCGUCUCUCAAAUUACUCUCAACUGCGUUUUUAGUUUUGUAAAUAGUCUUACUCCAUUCAUGUGUUCAAACAUUUGGUGUGAUAGGUAAAAAAAAAUCAGCACAAACCAAACAGUAUAUAUUGCUUGUAUUAUAAGCACAAACCCACCAGCUCCUCCUUGAAAAUCAUUGGCUCUGUUAACUUGUAUUAUAAGCCGUAUAUUUUCUGCUAGCGAGCAGUGUUUUUCUUCCAUAAUUAAUAAAUCAACGAACAGUAUCUUCAGCCAUGACUUUUCGGAUAAACGAGAUAUCAUCUGUCACGGUAGCCUGGAGCCACUUCAGAUUUCGAGGUAGAAAAUGAAAUAAGAAGAGGAGCUGGUGGAGCCACGAUUUGCAGCUUCUCCAACUCUGUGCUACAGUACCAGAUUGUACAUGUGAUUUGUGAAUGUCAUUUUAGAAGCUUGCCAAUCCACUGUAUGGUAUCCAUGCUCCUCCAAAAAUGCCAUGGACAUAAUUGGCAGCAAGCAUUGUGCUUUCCUUUGGACGAGCACUGAAAAAUGCAUACCUUGUCUACCUCGCCGAAGAUACUGGUGGACUUGGGGUGCACAAUUUGACCAUCAAAGACAUUGCCUUCUUAUGAAGUUUGUUCACAAGCUGCUCUCCCCCGAUACCUUCGCAUGGAAAUCCUUGAUUCUUCGUCAUGUUGGUCUGGACCUAGGUUGGUGGGGUGAUCGCACAUCAUUCAUGACGAGCUUCGGCGUUUCUGUUCCCUGACCGUAGUGCAUCUGGGUAAUGACAAAUCAAUUCCUUCUGGCUGGAUCGAUAGUUAUUGUCUGAACCAUUGGCCGAUGCCUUCCCUGUCCUCUCCUCUCAAUACAUCAAGGUUGUGUUCAUGAUAUUCUCUGUCCGGCGCUGGAAUAUAUUCUUCAUUCAUGUUGUUCUUGCCAUGGUCACCGCCUAGCUAUGAACACUCUCAAUCAAUUAAGGGCGUGUUUGGUUGGAAGUGUUAAAGUUUAACAGGUACCAUAAUAUUUUCGUUUUAUUUGGUAACUUGUGUCAAGUCAUGGAUUAAUUAGGUUUAAAAGAUUCGUUUCACAAACUAUUCUCUAGCUGCUUUUUUAGUUUCGUAAAUAGUCUAUUUUUAGUACUUCAUGUAUGUAUCCAAACAUUCGAUGUGACGGAAGUUAAAGUUUAACAACAAAAACCAAACACGGCCUAAAUGAGCUGCUAGAUGGAUCCGGCCUUGUUUAGUUUCAAAAUUUUUAGUAAAAUGAAUAUUGUAGCAUUUUUUUAUAUUUGACAAAUAUUGUCCAAUCAUGGGCUAGCUGAGCUCAAAAGAUUCAUCUCGUAAAUUACAGAUAAACUAUGUAAUUGCUUAUUCCUUUUAUCUAUAUUUAAUACUUCAUGCAUGCGCCGCAAAAUUUGAUGUGAUGGGAAAUCUGAAAUCUUUUGCAAUUUUUUUUUUGAAGACUAAAUGAGGCCACCUGAGAGCUGACUGAUGUAGUUGACUCCCACUUCGGCAGACUUCUCCGGCAUGGCACGGGAGCGUACCACUUCCUUCAUGUUACGAGCAAGGUUAAGAAUAGAGCCAAGUGGUUGACUAUAAGCCAAGUGAUUAGAGCCAAGUUAUACAAUAAGUUGUCUCAUACUUGUCUCUAAAAUAUCUUCUCUUUCUUAUUCGAUCUCACAACAUUUGCUAUUUGGGCCCAUCACUACCUAUGCAUUCGUGCCCAGUUUGGUGCUUACAUGAGAGCCAAGCUAUCAUCUCUCUCCUCUUUUCUCUCCUCCACAUCAGCAUUAGCUUGGCUAUAAGCCUAUUAUUAUACCUGCUCUAACAACGCUCCUGAUCAAUGUGCUCAGUAGAUCUGGAAAUACACAGGCUUCCAAGGAAGAUAAAGUUCUUUGGUUAGUUCCUCAACAUCAGCAAAAAACUUUUGAACCGAAGGCACCAUGUGGACGAUGAUCUAUAUUUAAUACUCUAUAUAUGUGUCCAAACAUCUGAGCAAAUCUCUUCUAUUGAAACAUUCGUGGAUCGCCACUUGAAGAUUCAUACUAUCAAAGCUGUCCCAAAGAUUAUGGCAAUAGGCGACCACAUCUUUCUUUCAUGCAUCUGUGCCAGGCGUCGUCCCUAGCUCAUUAUUGGCGCCCCCGACUGUCUGUAGUGUACGAAUAUGAUUUUGAUCAUCCUUUGGAAGCUUUGGAACUCGUGAAAUAGGUUGAUUUUCAAUAGCUAGAUGAUUCUCCUCGGAAAGUAUUUUCUAUAAUUAGAUCAAUCUCAAUAGGAUUUCAUAAGAAUUUCAUAAGCAUUAAAUUACUGACAUGACACUGUAUUUAAGCCCUGUUUAGAUCCAUAGGGCUAAACUUUAGCUUACCUAUUUUAAUCAUAUUUUAGCCCUCAUGGAUACAAACAUGAGGACUAAAAGAAGCUAAACUUUAGUCCACCCCUUUUCCAUUAGCCCUCCAAAAUGAGCUAAAGAGGGCUAAAAGUGAUCAUACGGGGCAAAAUACGCAUACUACCCCACCUACCUUAUGCAUGGCUGUGCAUAAAUAUUAAUUAGAGACAAAUAAGUUAUGAUAGGUACAUGGCUAAUCUUUAGCCCCGAAUCUAAAUAGCCCCAGGACUAAAGAUUAGCUGGCUAAAGUUUAGCCCAUGGAUCCAAACAUAGUCCUAUGAAGAUACAGAUUACAAGAGUUUUAUAGGAGCAAAAAUCUAAAGCUUUAUGGAGAUAAAACUCUUGCGUACUAUUUUCAAAAUAUAGGUGUAUUUAAAAUUUGGACAUUAAAUCUCAUCUGAGACUGACCUUAGACACAUGCACAUCGGUUAGCUUCGCGUAAUUAUCUCUCGAACUGUUGUAGCUCUUUAGUUUAAAUUUCUCCCUUCUCCCAUGUACUUCGACACUGUGGCCUGCAAAGGUUAUUUUUGCUAAAGCUUCCAGCCCUUUCAUUCAAUGAGAUAAGUUAGUGGAGCUUUGCCGCCGGCGGUUAACGCCGCCAACGCCCUCACCCCACCCAACCCCCAAUUUUUUUUUACAACAACACCCAACCCCCAGUUGGUUGAAGAACAAAAUAACUCAAAGCCGACUAUACUAGAAAGCUAACAGCAACGAGAUAUACUGGGAGCUAACGUAUAUGGACAACAUUUCAACGAGGAGGGCAACUUGCCAUGUGGCUGAACUCGUUUUUUAUUCCAUCUCUUGUAACUUUCGAGUCGCUCUCGUCCCCAUCCUCUUCGCACUCUCUUCUAUAUAAACAUGAGGAGAGCAAAGAGAGCAUAUAUAUAAGAAAAAGCAACGUCUCCUCUCGUACAUAUCAAAGGGAAACUUCAUUCCCAUUCGCCGCAAAUACACACAUUCUCUCUGUGCCUACGACCGAGCGAGCUUUAAUUUUCGGAUUGAUCGAUGGCCUGCACUACGGCAGCAUCCCUGCAGCAUGACAAGGCCAACGACGACGAGGCGUGCAUGUACGCCCAGGAGCUCCUGUUCAGCUUCAUCGUGCCCAUGACACUCAAGGCGGUCAUCGAGCUCGGCCUCAUCGACUACCUCCUCGCCGCCGACGGCCGCUCUGUGACCCCGGAGGAGCUGGCGGCGGAGUGGCCGCAGUCAGCCGAGGCGGCCGCCGCGGUGGACCGCAUGAUGCGGCUCCUCGCGUCGCACAGCGUCGUCAGGUGCACGACGGAGGUGGGGCCGGAUGGGAAGGCCCGCCGGAGCUAUGCCGCGGCGCCGGUGUGCAAGUGGCUCGCCACUCGGAACGCCGGCGGACAGGGCUCCUUGGCUCCUAUGGGGCUGAUGAACCUAAACAAGGCGUUCAUGGAAACCUGGUACCUACAUACAUACGUACUACUAUAUAAACGUGCACAUCAUUAAUUCCUACGUAGUACGUAUACCGUGCAUUCGCGUUGUUUAGUUCCUAAAAAAUUUGUAAAAUUUUUUAGAUUUGUCGUCAUAUUAAUUGAAUCUUACGGCACAUGCAUGAAGCAUUAAAUAUAGAUUAAAAAAUAACUAAUUGCACAGUUUAUCGGUAAUUUGCGAGUUGGAUUUUUUGAGCUUAGUUAAUCUAUGAUUGGACAAUACUUAUCAAAUACAAACGAAAAUGCUAAUACAUUUUGCAAUUUUUUUUUUCAACUAAACAAGGCCCUAGCAUAGAGUUUCAACGGGCCGUCAAAAUCAUGCAUCAUUCAACCAGAUUGGAAAAGUUCAUAUAUUUCAUAUUAAAAACAAAUAUGUUAGAUCUGUUUGAUGUUAAUAUGGUAUAUAUUUAUAGUUUUUUAAUUAAAAAGUGAGUGCACUUAUUUAAAUUUGUACCUAUCUACUUUAUUUAAUAUUAAAGAGCGCAAAUUUCUCUCCCACAAUUCCCGUCAUUCAGUUUCUCCCGAUCGAGUCUCUCUGUCGCCAUCAAGCAUAAGAGUAUCGACCAAUUUACUAAUAAGACUCUAAUGUAAGAGUAAUAGAAUGUGAUGAAUAGGCAAGCUAAGUUACAACUCUUAUGAACUAUUAGCGCGUAUUAGUAACUCCAAACAUUCUAAUAAAACUAAUAGUUAGCAGCCCUUUAACUAAUAAUUAGCAUGUCAGUUUAGAUCCACUAGACCAAUUUUAGUGCUAAUGGAGGAGUUUGGAUCCACUAGUACUAAUUUUAGUGUUAAUGGAUUCAAAUAGGCCCACUGAAGAAGUCGUAUGACAGCCGAAAUUAUAAUCUGACUUGACUGGAAGCUUUUUUUUUGUGACUUGACUUGAUUGGAAGCUAGGACUCUUAUGACUGCAAGAUAGUGAAUUUGGUGCCCAUGAUCUAGUUGCUUAUUAAUUAAUCAGACUGUUCGGCUGCUUGUAUAUGCAGCCGUUACUGGCUGUUAGCACAGUACAUUUGUGACUGGGAGGGGUAUAUCCAGCCGUAAUUAAUAUAAGAGGUGGCAACGAAUGAUACAUGAUGAAUAAUCGCAGGUACUUUAUGAAGGAGGCCGUGACGGAGGGAGCGACACCGACCGAGAAGGCCUACGGCAUGCCGCUGUUCGAGCACCUGGGGUCGGACGAGGCGUCCAACACGCUCUUCAACCAGGCAAUGGCCGGCCACUCGGAGAUGAUAAUCAAGAAGCUGCUCGAGGUUUACCGCGGCUUCGAAGGCGUCGACGUGCUCGUCGACGUCGGCGGCGGCACCGGCUCCACGCUGCGCAUGGUCACCGCCCAGUAUAAGCAUCUGAGAGGCGUCAACUACGACCUCCCCCACGUCAUCGCGCAGGCGCCGCCGGUGCAAGGUCAGUCCGUGUUGCCUUGUUGGCGGUGGCUACACAAAAUUCACUUCGUGUGCUAACACAACACAAACACACACACUUCCUGUGCAGGUGUGGAACAUGUAGGUGGCAGCAUGUUUGAGUACAUUCCGAGCGGAAAUGCAAUUCUGUUGAAGGUCUGUUUCGUUAGCUUAUCAUAUUAUUUAUCACAAUAAUUUCAUGCAUGGCAACCCACGUCAGAGUUCAGAUACAACCGAAUAUGUUUGUUUAUUUAUUUUUUUUGUCAACAACAACAAUAAAAAAAACAAACAAACGGUGCAGUGGAUUCUCCACCUGUGGCGCGACGAUGAGUGCGUGAAGAUCCUCAAGAACUGCCACCGGGCGCUCCCGGCGAACGGGAAGGUGAUCGUGGUGGAGUACGUGCUGCCGGCGAGUCCGGAGCCGACGCAGGUUGCGCAGGUCUCGUUGCUCCUGGACGUGGCGAUGCUGAACCGCCUCAGGGGCGCCAAGGAGCGGACGGAGCAGGAGUUCGCCCAGCUGGCCGCGGAGGCCGGCUUCUCCGGCGGGUGCAGGGCCACCUACGUCUUCGCCUCCGCCUGGGCGCUCGAGUUCACCAAGUAGCUACCUGCUCGAUCGGCGCUCGCGCGCGGUGGUCUCAUCAGGAUCGGAGGUCGGGAGGUGGCUGGCACGACGACAUUUAUUUAUAUACUUAUCUAUGACCGGCUUUAAUUUGUGCUGGUUUUUCCUUUUUCAUUCGAGAAAACGUAACAAGGACAUACGCUGAUCCACGAGGGCGUGUGUCGGUAAUGCAUUAUGUACUUGUGCUUAUUUUUGUUUCCCGUACCAGGUGUAACCGAAUUUCGUUACCACAAAAGCAAUAUGUAUACUUAUGUUUGUUGGCCAUUUUGUUGCCUACUAUAUAAACACAGCUCGUACCAGCACACUGAGUUUCACUGUUUCCUACCGCUGUACCAGUAGACGCUCAGGAUGGGAUUGCCAGUGAAGUUAGUCCUCGGAUAUUCAAAAUUCAAUGAACAGCAGUACAGCACGUUGUAAACAAAUCGAAUCGACACGAGGCCGGCCGGGCCGGGGGCUCACGACGCCAGGGUGGUGCUCGGGCAGUUGUCGACGCCGCAGGCCAGGACGUCGCGGUAGUCGCGGGAGACGGUGAAGUGGUCGUGCACGCUGCCGUCCCGGCUCUUCUUGUACUCAAACAGCAGCGUCGUGUGGUUGAACGCCGUCAGCUUCGCGAACCCAAAGUCGCGGUCCCGCACGUGGCUCCACCGCGCCCGCACGGCUGUGUAGUCGGCGAGGCUGGCGCCGCCGCCGCCCACCACGACGUGCGUCGUCGCCGUGAAAGCGCCGGUGUAGAGGUUAGACCCCUUGGCGACACACGCGUUCUGCGUUUCACACAAAUCCAACCAGAGUGAUAUACAAAAUGAGCGUCAACUAGCUAAGCUAGCCACAGGAGAUGGAAUGAAGCUGAGAAGAACCUCGUAUACUGGGCAGGUCCGCUCGUAGCCGUGGACGUGGCCAUACAUAGCGAUGUCGACCUUGUGCUUCUGCCAGAGUGACUGAAGGCUCUCGCGUCCCAUGGGCUCCUCGGUUGUUCCUUCGUCGGCGUAGAAGGUGGCAGACGAGUAACCCAGAACACGGUGCGCGAGGAAGAUGAGCCAUGGCUGUUUCUGCCGAUCAACAGACGACAGGCAGUGCUCGAUGAACCUGUACUGCUCCGUGCCUGCCCUCCAGUCCAACUCGGUAUUGGAUAUGCAGAAACGGAACAUCCCGUAGUCCAUUGAGUACCUAAAAGGAUAAGCUGGUGUUCGAUGAGAGCUUCUUGGAGACAAAAUUGGAAAAUACUGCAACUUUCUAUUCUAGGGGAAAAUCAGAAGGACAGUGAUGCACAGCUCAGCUCCAUGAACAAAUAGCUUCAAUACUGCAUUUGGUAAUUUCUGCCAAUGAGGGAGUUUGUUUUUGUGGGUAAGUGAGUAAUGAAAUUUCAGUCUCAAACACCAUGAAACUUUGUUAACUUUUUCUUUGAACGAAUAAAAGGUUGUUAAACAUCCUCUUGCCUGUCUAUUCUAUAUUCAAAACGGAAUUCUUUAUUUCCUUUUAGUUGGACCUGAGAGAUCUUUGUAUUUGACCACCUAUAGCUUCAUGUUUAAUGCUAUGCCUUCAAUCUCGACCAUAUCCAGGCGAAAGUUUUCUUACCAGAACUGCUCGCGGUUUUCUGCUGGCACGUAGAACAUAUUCUGAGCUGGUACCCCACAUUCACCACCUGAGUCAAGAUUUCCGUAGAAAGAUCCUGAUCCAGGCCAAUCCCUUUCGUGGUUACCACUGCAACCACAAAUUAGUAGUAUCAGAAACAUAUUAAAACUGUUCCAUUUCAUUAUCAUUUGAUUUGAUCUGUUGUCAAGUUGGAAUCCUGGACGAACCUCGCAACCAUGUAAGGCACAGUAGAAGCAAUGGGCUCAACCUGUGCAGUGAAUUGAUCCCAUUGUGACAGAUAGCCAUUGGCAUAUGCGAUGUCUCCAAUAUGGAAAACCACAUCAAUAUUCUUCAAGUCUUUAAUUAGCUGGUUCGUUGUGUUAAGUGAAGCAGGCUCAAAGCCAUUGAACUCAUUUGAACCAUCAACCUCAGCCUGAUAAAAGAAGUUCAAACGCCAACUUUAGUGUCAAGCAGUUAAAAGAAACAUUAUUACUUGUUAGUUUGAUCUGAGAUGAGAAAAGGGGCUAAUAUUUCCAGCACCAACAAAACUAACAAUGAAAAUACAACAUUUUGGUGGAUAAGUUCCUAGGUAAGAAAGUAGAUAAAGGUAGAUGCUGAAGGUCGAGAGAUUCUAAAUUGGCCUUCUGUCAAUAGCUGUGCAGUAGGCAUCGGUCUAAUAAUUCUAUUGCAUGAUUGCAUAGGAAAAAGAAAGGAUAAGCAUCUUGCAGAUUUUGGCAUCAAAUUCGUACCUUGCCCAUAUCCCCAAAAAUUACAACACGUUGCAAAGAGUCUUCCCCAGGAUAAGGAGGUGCUUUGAAGCUAUACUGAUGUCCCCAAACUAUAGAGCCAUUAAAAAUGUGAUGACCAACUUGGUAUGUGUACCUGAAAUUUGAACUCAUAUGUAAAACUUGUCGCCCCUUGUAGUAGCACAAAUGAAUAGCUAACAAAAGAAAGAAAUGAAGAUGCAAACAGGUUGUUUGAGCUUCAAUUACAAGAGAUUGGGCCAUAAUUCCUUGAGAAAACUUGUGUGUAUGAAACCAGGAUCACGCCAACCAACUGUCCUUGCAGGAGGACCUGAAAUAGAGCCAUAAAGGUACAUAGUAAUGAUAAUGUUCUUAUUAGGUACCAUAGCAACGUUAAUGACUCAUUGGGUUUCAUGAAAAGUGAACACAUCAAUCACACUUAGCUUUAGAACACUGAAAAAACUAAAUCCAAUUCAAAGCAUAGGAAUUGUUGGACAUUGUAAUUUUAUCCUAAGAUAGAUCCCUACAUUUCAGAUAAAAAUUGAGGAUAAUACUCUGUAUUUUUGCAGGAUACAGUAAGAGAAUUACUAACCACACAUGGUCUCGCGACUGAAAGUAAGGGUGCCUGCAGGAGAAAGGAUUUGGAUUUGCCCUUGUAUGCCCCAUCUGACAAAUGGUGUAGCCUCAUUUGUACCAUACCCACUUGUCCAUGUAACUGUCAUCUAGAGUCACUAAAAAACAGUAAAAAUCUUGUAGAUAUGAUAUGAAGCGAUUUCAUUCUUGAAAGCAGUUAUGUGCACUUUUUCUUAAAAACCUUGAUAACUAUGAACAAAUUCUAAAGGUAAAACUAAGAAAGUACUCAUCUAAAUAAUAACUAGCUGAAAUAUCUAAGUUCUUGUUUUGAGUUACUUUAAAAUUAUUUGCGAAUUAAUAAUUUGAUCAAAAGAAAAUGUUACCUUACAGCUACAAAAAAAGUGCAUUAGAGAAAUGACCCAAAUCUGUCACCUAUUUGCAUUCAUAAAAUUUUCUUUUGUGGGUCAUAUAAAACAGUGUUCAGUCGAUGUUUCCUUCAUUACUUACAAGGGGGAAAAAGUGAAAAUGAUACUUACUUCAUUCCAAGAUUUUCCUUGUGCUAAGCGUGGGAACACCGGAGCCUUUGGGUUGAUGAAAGUAACACUCUUUGAGUGGGCGAUGAGCUUUGGCUGUAUAAUUACACGAAAAAUGUGCAUAGUCAUGCUAAAGCACAUACUAGUUAUCCAUCAUGGUAUGCAGACAAAGAAACUAAGAAUAGUAAAAAAAACUGGCAGCAAUAUUAGUGAUCCAAAAAUAAAAAACACAAUGGUACUGUAGAGGUUGUACACAGUUUGGGUUAAAAAACAAGGUGCUCUUUGCUAAAAAUCUAAACACGUAGUUUGGGUUAAAAAAUAAUCUAAAUGCUAAAUUAAAACAGUUCUCUUUUGUUUUAAAGAGAUGACAAGGUGCUCAUUGCUAAAAAUCUAAGUGAGAGACUUUUACUAGCACACCAUGUUUAGUGGUGUAUUGGCGUUUGAACUCUAUAGUUGGAAUAUGACUGUAGAGGUUGUAAAUGGCUCGUAGGUUGUGACAGCAACUGGCAGGGAACUUAUUGUAAUAUUUAUAAACCAACAAUAAAAAAACAUAUAUCAUGCUUAGUUAAUAAUGUGUUCAAGGUGGGCUACAAUUGUCUAUCAGGAAAUGGAUAAAAUUGUUUAGGAUGUAUAGUACUGAUAGCUUAGAUACCAAAUGAAAAGGUCUAAAUUUUUUAAACCCUGCAGUUCAAUAGAUUGAUUCACAAAAAGAAGAGCAUUAAGCACAUACAUUCGACAGGCCUCCAGAGAACAAUGCAAAUGAGAAACCCUCUCUCUGAUUUAUCAGCUGAAGCUUCAAGGAUCCCUUUCCAGUGUUUCCAUAAUCACGAUUCGUGUAGUUUGCAAAUUGGAACUGCCGAAAUAUGAAGCUUCCUUCAGCAUAUGUUCAUAUAAGAGUUCUGAAGUCACCUAAACUUCACAUGGAGAAAGCUCACAGGAAACUAGCCCAACCUUGAUAGGAGCUGUGCAUAAAAGAGGGGACUCCACCCAUUCGUUCUCUUGUGGACAAAUGGAAUCACUGACAAAUCCAUGGAAACAAAAUACACAAGAUCAGUCCAGCUUUCCAUUUAGCAAGAAGCAUGCAGUAUUCUACCAAAGCAAACAGCAGAUAGUGUAUCAGUUUAUACUUGAAAUUAGCAGGAGAGAAGACUCCAAUCCAGUCAUCCUUCGAAGGCCUGGGGUUACUAUAUGUGACGGUCACCCAUUCUCUGUCCUCCCCCUGCAACAAAUAAAGCAGCCGAUAAUCUAAUAGCAGCAGAGGGAACCAUUAGAGAGGGCAAUGGCCCUACAUAUAACCUAGCUUGUGCUGCAGAUUUAAGCCCUAUUUGGACAAUCGAGCAUCGAGCGCGCAUAUUUCUAAUGAUGAAUUGCAAAAACUCAGCCCCGAAUUGCGACAAAACUCUCAAACUACUAUACAUGCAUACUCUGUAGAGCUUAGAGCACCUCGAGCCCACGAACUGAUGGCGCCCACUCGAAUUAGCCUGAGGCGCCAGCGUUUUAGAGGGCUCACCUCCAGGCCGAGAAGGGCCGGCGACGCGUCGACGAAGGCACCCGGCUGGGGCGCAGCGGUGGCGCGGUGGAUGGCGAUCCUCGACAGCGGCUGCACGCCACCUCCCGCAGCGGCGGCGCCGGCGCUGGCGAUAAGAGCGAGCAGCGCAUACACCGUCACCGCCGCCGCCGUUCUGGGCAAUGACAGCAUCGUGCUCGGUUGCAACCAGCAGACGAACUCUUCUCGCUUUCUGUAUACCAUUUUGUGGGAUAAAAGCGAGCCAAUAAAUUAUGGAACGCAGGAACAGUCGGCAAAUCAAAGAGUGACGUCUAAGCUACAAUAGGGGAGAGCCUGACCUGACGUCUAAGGUAAAAGUAAUGGCGAAUCUGAAGGCCCUUUCGAAAAGCAAAUUUCAGAAACCCGAGCUAACCGAUGGCCUUUUUUUUUUUUGAAAUAACCGAUGGCCUGUUUGAAACACAAGCAAAUGCCAACCACCUCGAUGUCAACGGACAUGCCUAUUUAAGUCAAAAGACUCAGACCUAUUUCACCACAAAGAUAACCUUCAUUUGAAUGGACCUCCAGUUUCAUAUUCGGGAUAAGCAUCGAUGCGUCAUACUCAGUUAAGCAGCGGAAUAUCAAGGGUAUUUGGAUCUGAUCUAGGCUAGUCCGGUGAUUACUGGAGGUUUAACAGAAUAUCCAGAGUAUUUGGAUCCGAUCUAGGCCAGUCCGGUGAUAACUGCAGGAGUUCUCCACCUAACUUGAAUUUGAACAUGCCGAGGAGAAGCCGAAAUGAAAAUUACCAUGGCCUUGUUUAGUUCACCCUGAAAACCAAAAACUUUUCAAGAUUUUCCGUCACAUCAAAUCUUAGAGCACAUGCAUAAAGCAUUAGAUAUAGACGAAAAUAAAAACUAAUUGCACAGUUUGCCUGUAAAUCACGAGAUGAAUCUUUUGAGCCUAAUUAGUCCAUGAUUGGAUAAUAUUUAUCAAAUAAAAACGAAAAUACUACAGUGCCGAAAUCCGAAAUUUUUUCGGAACUAAACAAGGCCUGCACAUGUCCUGCCAUUUUCCUAAGUGCUUCCACGCGAUGUCUGACCUUAGGCUGAUUACAGAAAUUAAAUUUGCAUGAUAGUGGAUACAAAAAUGACAGGCUCGAACAAUUUUAUAAUACCGACAUUGAAACGUUACCAGUUCAGCAACCGUCCAAUCUAAAAACAAAAAGGUCAUCAUAUCUGAGCCAAAACAACAUACGGUUCUUUUUUUUUUUUUGAAAGAACAGGAAGGGCAAGGAGCCCCUACUGAGAAUAUAUUAAAAAUAGUGAAACAUACGGUUCAUUUUGACUACACCACAAUGAAUACAAGUUCAAAGAAAAAUCCCAUCGCCUGUUAGAAUUACUACGGAACAAGAACAAGGAGCUCGAUUGCCUCUUCGAUUCAGAAGAUGCACCAGGGCAGCAAGCAUCCUUAUCAGCAAUAUCGAUCUCACACUAGACUACGUUAGCAGACCCAGUUUUAAACAGCCCAAAAUGGUUUCUGCUCUGAACCAGGAGUUGGACUGCCCUUGGGUAUGUUGUCUGUCACAUCAGUAUCGUCGUCGUCGUCAUCAUCAUCAUCAUCAUCUCCAUAAUCAAUAAGUUUCAGCAAAGUAUCUAUAAAUGAACACCAAAGAUAAUAUGUAAAUUAGCGAAGUUAAAUCAUAUCCUACACACAAAGGAAAUUAUUGUGUGCAAUGUUACCAGACACAGGUGUGCCUUUUGUUUGUUCCUCAGGCUCCUUUGGUCGUUGUUGAGAUGGCAGGACUGAUUUUGCAUCCAAGGGCCUUGGAGGUGCUGUCAGCUCUUUUAAAGCAAAAGUCUUGUUCUCAUUUCUUGACAAUAACUCAUCUGAAGGAAAUUUUGGUGGCAGCGGAGGCAUGCUCUUAGACGGUGGCGGUAGCAUGUUUUUGGGUGGCAGCGGCGGAGGCAUGCUCUUGGGCGGUGGCGGUGGCAUGUUCUUGGUUGGUGGCGGCAGCAUGCUCUUCAGGGGUGGUGCUGGCAACUUAGUGGAUAUAGAGAGAUGUGAUGGCAUAUCCGCUUCUUCUAGCGGAAGCAUUCCAUUUGAUCCAGGAUGAACUUUCUUUGGAGGUGCAAUUGAUGAGCUCCCAAUGUAACCUAAACUAUCUAAACCUGUCUUAACAAAUUUGGAUCCCUGUUGUGAGUUCUGGAAAGAUGAAAGAAAACAAGAACACUCAUCCAUCAAAUUCCUGUGUGUUAGAGUAGGUAAUGCAUGAAUGGAAUCAGAAACAAUUUUGCAUACACAGCACAAAUAUGAGCAAUAUUCAUAUGGAAGCACAAUACUAGCUAGCAUGACUCUUGACAGGUUCAGAAUGUUAUCUUAAUUUUGAAAGAUAGAAGCAAAUAUACUGUAAAUAUAAUUUUCAUAUUGGGAGACUCUAAUAACAUAAGAUAUACACAUAAGUGUAGGAGACAAUGCAGGAAACUAACAACACCCUAAGUCUGAGUCUGCUUAACUAAGUGAAGAAGUUUCAUAUGGAUUAUGGAAGGACUUUUUGUAAUUUGUAUAUUUAUAUUGCUUGGAGCUUCCACUGAAUGAGAAGAUUUUGCAAAUGCAAAACUUUCUCCAAAGAGUGGAAAGAAAUAAAAUGUAUCAAAACCUACUAACAAUAUAUUAACUGAUCAACUAAUAACAAGACUACACCAACCAAGCAAUUUCAAAACUCAAGGCAUGCUAGCAAUGUUAAUCAACAGUAGUGAACUGUGUGAGCGAACAGAAACAGACCAAACGCAAAGGUUAAAUUUCUAUUUUCUGAAAAAAGUAACAAGAUAUUUGAAGAGCUCUGCAUCUUGUCAGUUACACUCCAUAGGUAAUGCAAACUCCAACUUGUUACAAGCCUGUGAAAAAACCCACAUGUAUUGCCACCUGUGAGCUUCAGACAAGGUCAGAGAAAAUACCUGGAAUGAAAUGAGAUGUUAGAAGCAGAUAAAAGAAUACAACAAAAAACGAUGAUGCCAAUCUGGCAAUGCAACUAUUGCUUUUAAUAGUAUUGUUAAAUUUGGAUUGUAGUCUCCAUUAAGAGAACUGCAAGAACUACAGGAGCAAGCAAAGUUCCUUUCCUUCAAAAGAAGUUAGAUUUAUAAUAGUUAUUAAUUUCCAAGGUGCUAAACAAGAACUAAACAGUAAGAUCAUUAUAUUUCUUCAGGUACAAGUAUAAAAACAUAUUAUCAUGAAUUGCAUGUGGAAUAUUUGCUGUUGCAUCAAAUCUCUCGGUUAAUCAAAAGUGCUUCCCUUGUUUCAAGGAGGCAUCAUAAAGGGCAAUAUUUUUUUAUGCAGAACAUUUUGAUGUUAAUAGAUGUCACAGUGUCAUUCUAAAUUUUUUAAAAAAAAAUCACAGUGUCAUACAAAGUUUUCCUUGUAGUUGACAGAGCAAAAGUGUACACCAAAGUUACAAACAAAAGCAAAUAUGCCAGGAAUUCGAAAUCCUGAUAUUGAAAUCGCCUUGAAAGUUGUGUUGAUAAGAGUCAAUGGGCUAUCAAAAGAUUCAAAAGAUGGCACAAGCCAAGCUAAGAAAGGAGAGAACAAACAAGGAUGAGAGAGUAGGGAAGAUGUCAUCAAAUCAGGAUAGGCAUCUAGUGAACACCAUAGGGAAGGAAAGGGUAGCCAUGGAAUUUAGAUUAAUCACAUGAGAGGUAAUACAGAGAAAAGGAGGUGAAUAGAGGGGACAUCAGAACAAGUACAUACAAAAGAAGAGCUUAAAAAGGUUGUUGUAGCUCCUGUAGUUAAGAAUUAAAUCGAGGCUAUAUCAGAAAGAAAAACAGAACUAAUUGUACCUGACUUUCUGUUGCUGGACCCUUUGAAACUGGUAGUUCCUGGAAUUUUCUUCGGGAACGUUUAUCCAUCUCCACAUCCAAGGUUGAGUUCUCCUUUGUCCCCAUGCUUGUUGGCGUGGGCGUCACUGGAACAGCCUGAGCUGCUGACGAUGAGGCAUGCUUGAGUGUGAAUGCCACCUGCUGCAAUGGAGUUGCUUGGGGAUAAAUGUCCCCAUAACCACUGUAAAAUGCACCACCAUUUACUGGUGGAAUAGGACAGGCCAUGUUACUGGGUGGUGGAACCCCAGAAUAUGUUGGAGCCCCUGAUUGCACUGUCACUGCAGGAGCAAUAACUCCAGUAGAUGCAAAGGAAUGUGGAGCUCCUGAUAACACAUUGGGCCCUAAAGUAUAGUGAACAUCUGUUUUCACUCCUGAGGUGUCGGUACCAGUUAACAACUGCUGAGGAGGUGGAACAGCACCAUAUACGUUUGAAGAAGAAAUUCUGUCAAAAAAGGGUAUUAAUAAAAUGAAAAUGAUAAGACUUCUGUUGUAGGAUCCAAUAUCAACAAUAAGAAUCUGUACAUGCUUCGAUGUUGGCGAGAAAAGAAAAAGACACAAGAACAUAAAACAAUGGACUGCAAUUCGAACAUGAUGCUAAGAGUCAGUAAGCUUGAAUGCUUCAUACAAUCGUUUCCUUAAGAAAUAAGUAUUUUCAAAGGACAAAGCUGAUAACAUCAAGAUGAGUUAAUGACUAAGCAAAGCAAAUGCUUAACCAAGAAGGUGAGAAUGUGGAUGCAAAGGUUGUAUUUCUCAAAAAAUGGAAAAGAUGCAUGCAAAAAAAAUCAUUUAAUUAAUUAGCAAAUUUGCAUACCUGGAAGCACCGAAUUCUGCUGCUAUUGUAUCCAGCAGGUUCUCUGCCAAAACUUUUGCAGCUUCUAGGUUCUUUAAAUGCAUACUUGCGAGGUAUAGGUGUAGAGGUUGUUGUGAGGCUACAAAGGAUGUAUAGAACACAAUGUAAGCCUACAAAUCAGAAGUUCCUGAAAGCUAUCAAAAUAAUCACCAACCUUCACCAUGACAACUGCCAAGAUUCUCUGAAUCUUUCCCUCUUAGUACAACAGUGACCCCUGUUUCUCUCAUGAUAUGAUUUAUGUACUGAUCCUAUAAUAACAAAAGAGCACAAGCACCAACAGCACAAAAGCAGUUUCUCCCAUCCAAAUUGGGAUGUCAGAGAAAGCUUUAUGAUUAGAUCUUUCAAAAAAAAAGUAAGAAAACAUCACAUAAAUUGAGUAAUCAACAAAAAUAAACUGAGAUAAGCUAAUAACAAAAUGAUAAAAUAAAACCAGGAUCACAUAUAGUUCUACAAAAAAAACAUACAUUUGGACCACGGACUCGAGCUGCGAUAUUCAAUGAUGGAUCUGCAUCAAAACCCAAAAAUAUCGAGGCACUAAAAGGACGAACAGCCUGUGAAAGAUGAAUAGAGAUGAAGUUAAAUUUCUCGAGCAGAAUUUGUUCUAUAGUAGUACAGCAAACAUACUACACUGAUCCCCAUUCGCUCCCAAAAAUGGGUAAAUUUGCUCAUGAUAUGGAGAUAUAGAGGAUUACCUGUCCACCACUAGAGGAGAAAGGGGUCGAUAUAGACUCUGAGAUUGUUCCUUGUUUCAAUAUUUCCUCAAUCAUUGAAGCUGCGCGGUCAACUGCCUUAAUGCGCUCAGCAGUAUCUUUCAACUAGAGAGAGGCCAAAUGCAUAUUAUUAUGUUAUCAAUACUAUAAGGAAUGUCUAUACAGGAUUAAAUAUAGACUAGAAAAAAAUUGCUGCAUGCUGCUACUUAUCACAAUGGCCUUGGCAUUGAUAUCAUGCAAUUUUUUGUUAUAAUAUGGAUGGAUGAUUCAAAAUUAAAACAUUAAAGAGGAAUAUCAUCACAACUAGAUUGCAUUACGCCUAACAAGCAGAUAUGUUAAAUCCCAGUUCCCACAAAAAUCAAAACUAGUGUAUGACCUACUAUAUGUAAUGGCACAAUCACUGUUUUACAACAUUUAUAGUGUGUUUGGUUUGAGGAGUGAGUUAGCUCAUCAUCUUCUCACUCCUCACUUUUUUGUUUGGUUUGUGGAAUGGAAUGGGUUGAUCCAUCAUCACCUCAUUGCUCAACGCUCACAAGCUAAUAAUUAGUACUAGUAUGAGGAUUGAGGAGUGGAGUCAUUCUACCCAAUUUGAGGAAUGGACUCAUGAUGCACCACCCCAUCUAGAAUGGAGUGAUUCCUCAAACCAAGCACCCUACUAGGAAACUUCAGUCAUGGGUUGAGAUCUUUAAGAACUUCAAAGGUAGUUUUAAAAUUCAUACUCCUAAGGUCCUUAGUUCCCAGUUUAACGCCCUUAUAAGCAGUAGCAGUUAAACAAUCAAUAGUCAACUCAAGGCAGACAUGACAGUUCUGUAACUUUACAUGGUGACAACUCAGUAAGUUGUAUUUGACAUAGUAUUAAAAACAAACAAAAAAAACAAUAAGAUAAUUGGCAUCAUCAUAGUUAAAAACAAGAAAGGACGAGAUGGAAAACACAACGAGAUCUUCCAGUAACAGUUAAUGCAUGCAGACAGCCAUAAAAUGGUCCAUUAUAUAGUUAUACAGCUGAUUCAAUAACUGUUGCAGUGCAGAAAUUUCAGGUAUAUAUCACCAAAGUUAUUAUGGUCAGAAUAAAAUGAAGGGAAACGGAAUUCAACAGAAAGAAUAAUAUUUACCUGAGAUCCAGCAGAGAUAUGUAGAUAGAGUGGCUUCUCACCAUCAGGAUGUUCAUUUGGAGGGUGAUAUUUUCCCCUUACAAGGUAAAACAAGUAGUCUCAGGAAUGGACCGUCAAAACCAAGAGGGCAUGUCAGAUUUUACCUAGUAAUGAUGACAGUGUUUGUGCAUCUCUGAAUCUGUUAAGUAUCAGGAACAUUAUAAGUACCUUAUUUGACCAUAACAUAUGCGAAUACAAUGUCUUAGAAGGAACAGAGUUCACCGGUAACCUAGACUUGUCUGGUAAGAAUUUACCUCUUCUUGUGUUUGUCGUUUUGUAAGCUUAUAUCGCACAGAUGGAUCUGCGUCGUUUAUAACAAUCUCGCGUGCAAUGACCUCAUCUGGUAGUUUUGCCUAAUAGUACAUAAGUAGUGACAUAGAUGCACUCAGAUAGCCCUAGAUUAUAAUUGUCCACAUAGUACCUCUCAGAGCUUAAAAAAACAGUAUUGUAUGAAACUAAAUCACACCUGACUCAAUUUCUGAACUGCAGCAGCAGCACUCGGGAGCACCGAUGGCGCAAUAUGGGGCGGCAACGAAUGUGGAACAGGGACUACACUUGGCAAUGUAGCAGCUCCAUAUGCCGUGACGCCGGGCAGUGCAGCGCCAGGAAGAGCACA
rnacentral:lncRNA from 1 species